rnacentral:lncRNA from 1 species
CAGACUCGAACCCGAGACUUGCUGCCGCGGAAACCUUGGCUUUGCCACCUAGGCCAUGACCUGUCAUGAUGUUCAUUAAGAGAUGCCACAUAUUUAACUAUCAGUUGAGCGUUUGAAUUCAAUAGUUUGAAAAUAUUUGAGAUUUUUUGCACGGUAUGAGUGUUUCUCGGGGGUGGGGGGUAUACUCGAUAUCGAAACAACAUUAUUAUUAUUAUUUCAAACGAAAGUAAUGUUGGUUUUACAUGAACAUUGUUUCUGGCAGAAAAUAGAUUAUUAACUAUCAAAGUCAUAUGGCCCUAGCAAGACAUUGUUGAGGUCACCCAGCUUGAUCAGCUCCUUGUUUUCGUUGAUAAGUGGCUGGCUAUCCAUGUGAAGAUCAUGCCAGCAGUCGCUGACAUGGUCAGUCGCCUUCUCCACACACUCGGGCAGUUCAAAGGACCACAGGCAGUCUGCGUCGCCCCUGGGGACAUGGAAGUCCCUGAGCAUGGCGUCGCAGAGAUCGAGGGUGCCGAUAGUGACAUCGUAGUCCACCUGGCAAUACCUGAGGCCGAGCGCCUCCUCCGUACCUUUCUUGUCUUUCUGGAGUGCUUCCUUCACCUUGCCGCCGGCAGCUGCCACACGAAUCUUGAGGAUGUCGACGGCGACAAGGGACAGGUCACGGAGGUCCUUGGCAUGGGAGCUCCUUUUGUCCUAUUCGGCGCCUUAUGCGCCCGCACAGCUCGCUGGCGCACACGGCCGCACCUUGUUGGGCCGGCCCAUGAAGGAGGAUCGCAGUGAGGUCGAAAAUUGCAAAAAAGUGUGUUUCCUGGAUUUCAACGAACUCAGGUCGCUUACUUCUUCUCUGAGUUUAGCUAACCACUAGAGCCAUAGGACAUACGUGACAUAAAACAGCGACAACAGUAUAAGAACAGCAUGGCCACGUUAUUUAUUUGCAUAAUACCAUCUCUUAUAUCACUUUGAUUUUUGAAUUGUUCUGAAAAAUAUCCUGAAUUUGAAAACACUCGUCAUUUUUGAAGAACAGUUCACAAACUAAAAAACGUUCAUCGAUUUUGAAAAAAGUUCGUGAAAAAAUGAAAAAAUUUCAUCGAUUUUGAAAAAAGACCAUCGAAUUUGAAAAAAGAUCAUCAAAUUGGGAAAAAUUUCAACGAAUUUGAAAAAUAGUUCAUCAGAUUUUAAAAAAGAUCAUCAAAGUUGAAUAAGAGUUCAUCAAAUUAAAAGAAAGUUCAUCAAAUUUGAAAACAUUUCAUAGAAGUUGAACUUUUUUUCUAUAUCUCACAAAAUGGAUGAACUUUUGCUUCCGAUUCGGUGAACUUUUUUCAAAUUCUAUUAAAUGUUUUCAAAUUUGAUGAACUUUUUUAAUUUGAUGAACUCUUAUUCAACUUUGAUGAACUUUUUUAAAAUCUGAUGAACUUUUUUUCAAAUUCGUUGAAGUUUUUCCCAAUUUGAUGAACUUUUCUCAAAUUCAAUGGUCUUUUUUCAAAAUCUAUGAUUUUUUUUCAUUUUUCACGAACUUUUUUCAAAAUUGAUGAACGUUUUUGAGUUUGUGAACUUUUCUUCAAAAACGACGAGUGUUUUCAAAUUCAGGAUAUUUUCAGAAUAAUUCAAAAAUCGAAGUGAUAUAACAGAUGGUAUUAUGCAAAUAAAUAACGUAGCCAUGCUAUUCUUAUACUGUUGUCGCUGUUUUAUGUCACGUAUGUCCUAUGGCUCUAGUGGUUAGCUAAACUCAGAGAAGAAGUAAGCGACCUGAGUUCGACGAAAUCCAGGAAACGCACUUUUUUGCUAUUUUCGACCUCGCUGCGAUCCUCCUUCAUGGGCCGGCCCAACAAGGUGCGGCCGUGUGCGCCAGCGAGCUGUUCAGGCGCAUAAGGCGCUGAAGAGGAGCUCUCGCUAAAAGCGCCGUAUAGGAAGAGAGCUCCUAUUUGCCGCGCGCGGGCGGCAAAUGGUCGAGCCUUCGCUGAAGGAAGAGCGCAUGGGCCGGCCCAUUAGGAGGAAACGAGCUCACAAGUAAAAAAAGAAACAAAAUUCAUGUGCCCGCAAGAGAGUUAGAACUCAGGACCUCCUUAUCUAGAGCUAGCGUUGCUAACCGAUGGAACCAGUGAACUCUUAUAAUAAUUCGAGGCGCGAAAGUUUAAGUACCAUACACUGUUGAAUCUUUUUUUUAAAGUACACAUAACAUAUUAUAACAUCCGUUGAACAUUUUGCGGUACCAGUUGAACAUUUUAUUAAAGUAAGUUGAGUAUUUGAAAUAAUAUACGAUGAACAUUUUUAAAAGAAAAUAUGAAUAUACACGCUUAACAAUUUUCGGACACGUACUGAACAUUUGUGAAAAUACGUCGAACAAUUUAGGAAUACACAUUGAACAUUGUGUAAUAUACACUGAACAAAAUUAAGAAACAUAGUGAACAUUUGUAUACUCGUUGAAAAACCAAAAAAAAAGAAAAAAUUGCAAAAUAUAUUUACUGAACAUUUUUAUAUCCAUUGAACAUUUUAAAUAAUGCUUGAUGAACAUUUUUGAAACAAUAUGAAUAUGUGUGUGUUGAACAAUUUUUUAAUACACAUUCAACAUUUAGUAAAAAAACAUUGAACAGUUUUAUAAUACAUUGAUGAACAUUUUCGUAAUACACGAUGAACAUGUUUAUACACAAAGGUGAACAAUUUUCAUAAUAUACAAUGAACAUUUUUCUUAAUACAAUGAAAUUUCUUGUAAUACACGGUGAACAUUUUAUAUAAUACGCAAAUAAAAAGAAGAAAACAGAAAAAACCAGACAGAAAAAUAAAAAAUAAUGAAACAGAAAAGGAACCAAAACAGAAAAAUAAAAAAAAACGAAACAAAACAACAGAAAGCCGGAUAAAACAGUGAAAAACUGGAGGCAAAAAACCGCAGAAGAAAUUAAAAAAAACUGCAGAAGCAGCGAAGGAAACGACAGCGAACAGCGAAGGAAAACAGCACAGGAAAUCGUACGUGGGCCGGCCCAAGUGGGGACUCGCUUCAGCGAAGGUGCAGCUCCUGGACACUCACGAGCGUCAUAUAGGAUCCACCGUAUAGGAAUUCCCUGAAAUGUCGCAGGUUAGCACAGGCGAUCGGUCAGAUUGGGCCGGCCUGUUUAAGCGGUUUCAGCGUUUCCGGUUUUGGGAACCUUCUAGAAGGUACCUGAACCGGAUUUUUUCUGUUCUGUUAAUAUUUUCCUGUUUUUUUUCUUUUCUCUCUGUGUUUCCUUUCCUUUACUUAUUUUUUUGUUUCUUUCUAUCCUUUUUCUUUUCUUUUCAUUUUCAUUUUUCUUUCUUAUAUUUCUUUUUCUUUUCCAAAAAAUGUUCAUAUUUUACAAAUAUUUCAUUUUUACGCAAAAUUUUCUGGUUUUCAAAUUAUGUUCAUAAAUUCCAAAAUUUGUUCACUUUGUUGCAAAAAAUGUUCGGUAAUUCAAAAAAUGUUCACCUUUUAACGUUUCGUUCACAAAACAAAAUUUCUUUGGUUUCAAAAAAAUUCCCAUUUUUAAAAAAUUUCUUGGAAAUUUUAAAACAUGUUCACAUGUUAAAAGUUUGUUCAUAAAUGAAAAAAUGUUUGGGAAUUUCAAAAACAAAUCCUGUUAUGAAAUUUUGUUCACAAAUAUAAAAAAAUUCUAGAACACCAAAAUUUAUUCCCGUUUUAGCAAAUUUGUUCAAAAAUUCAAAACAUAUUUUCAUUUUCAAAAUUUGUUCACAUAUUUAAAAAUAUUCCUGUUUCUAAUUUUGUUCAUAAAUUCAAAAAAUGUUCACAUGUUUAAUUUUUGUGCAGAAAUUCUAAAAUAUUUCGGAAUUUCAAAAUAUGCUCCUGUUUUCCAAAUUGUUUACAUAUUCUAAAAAUGCAACAGUUUUCAAAUUUUGUUCACAACUUUUAAAAAUGUUCAUCUUUUUGGAAGUUGUUCGCAAAUAAUGUUCAUAGUUUAUAAAAUAUUCUUGUAUUCAAUUUUUUGUUCUUAUUUUUUUAGUUCCCAUAUAAUGUUCGCGUUUCAAAAAGAUUUUCCUUUUAAGAAAUUACGCUUGAAAUUUUAAAACAAGUUUUAAUCAGCCUUGGAUUAUAGUUCAUAUAUACUGGGCUGCCUUCGUAUGUACUAAUCCUGUGUUACUACAAUGGCUAUGGACUAGCUUCCCUAGUGUGAGGACAACAGUUUGAUCUCUCACCCACCGCGCAUACCACAAGGAGUACAUGCUCCUAGUAGUGCUAACCCUAUAAAUGGGUUAUGAUGGUGGUUCUAUUAUACUAACACCCUUAAGACCUUAUUCUACUAACAAAACCACCUUAUUCUACUUGCGUCCCGAACUAGCGAAGACGAAAACAGAAUAAAAACCCGACCCUCCUGCCACGACCACCCACUUCCCCUGCGAGCCACCAUUCUCCCACGAGCUCCACAAACCUACACCCCUACCAUCGCGGCACCCCACACCACCACCACCUACCCCAACCCGCUGCCCACAACCACCUGCCCAGCAGCCGGCAACCAUGGGACAACCCCCGACCACCACGGCGCCCCACGCACCCACCGCCAGCCCCCUUCCACAACACAAAAUGUGCCUCUCCUUCCCCGCAAUCCUCUUCCACAACCCUUCACGAUCUCCCUCCCCAGAGCACCACCCCUGGCGACCCUGACUUCCCCCAGCUAUUUCCGGUCGCCACCACAAAUGGUCACCGUUGUAAGGUGUUGGCCUCCUUGCACGCACCAGAUCGAGCCCCCGCAUCACCCCCUCCCUACUACGCCUCCGUGCCCGGCCUCCCCACCGGUGAGCAUAGCCUCUCCAACAACUGCGGUGCAUGCUUUGCCUGCACCUUCCUUCUCGCCCUCAAGAUCAUUCUGCUUGCCUUGACCACUCCACCCGAUGGUCGUCGACAAGUCCUGCGAAGUGUUGAACCAUGCACUCCGCAUCGAGUCGUACUGCAAAACCGCGUCUGUUUACUUUUCUAGUUCAAAAUUUUAAUUUGCUGCAACACGGUUUGACAUAGAGUGCAGUUCGACUUUGGGUUUCGACAGAGUGCAGUUCUUCACCGGCGGCAUUCCUAUGUGCUGUGUAAAAUAUAGAGCAGUUCGUGUGUGUAAUUGUUCUUUUUGCAUUUUUGGCCGUGUGGUACUUGUAUGUAACUUAUGUUGGUAUAUGUUUACUCAUCUUUGAAAAUUAAACAGUAUGCUCUUUAUUCAUUUCAGUUCAUGACACGGUUCACUCCAUUUUGUUUCGCUGUGCACUCGAUCGAUGCAAUGCAUUAUGCUCGACCCGACAGUCCUGAUGCGUUUAUAAAAAAUGGUUUGAAAAGACAAAAAUAUACAAAAUGGAUAAUGCAAACCACUAGCAUUGACCAUGUAAUCGAGACACGUUUACAGAAAAAGAUAGAAAAACUAUUGCAGUUCACCUCGGGUAGAAAAAUGCAAAAAAGUUCAUAGAAUAUAGUAAACUUCGUCCCACGUAAAAUUUGAAAAAUAAAACAAAAAAGGAACUAAAAAAUAUGUAGAAAAGAUAUUUAAAAACAAAAAAGUGAAAUACAAAAUGAUAUAGCAAAAAAUGUUACAGUUCACUCGCUCUCGUUCAUGAAGUCCAGAUAAGUUAAUAAAGAAUGUUAUUAAAAAGAAAAAGUAACGCAGUUCACAAAGCCUCAACCAUUCAAUCGAGACAAGUUUACAUAAGAAGAUAUAGGAAAGAAAAAAGAACUCAUGCAGUUCGGUUUCAAUUUGUGUUGCGGUUCACUUUUGCCGGAUGUGAACUGUACGCCCCAUGCAAUACCUUGUAUUUCAAAAAUCAAUCAACUGCAUAGCAGAUGCAAUGCAAUUUGAAGUCAGAUGCAGUACACAUGGUGUACGACCGAAAAUAUACAAAAAUGCAAUUCGAGAUCGUCGUUUUUCUAAUAUUACUUUUAAACUGUAGCAACCUAGGAAGAGUAUAUCUAUAAGAAAAAGUUACAUGAAAAUUUUGCCUCUAGUCGAUAUCUUUCCAACGGUGUAUCAUUUGCAUCAUUCUAAUAGGCGGUUCAUUUUUUUGCGAAACAAUGCUUGCUGGUAAUCAAUGUGCAGUGCACCGUGUUUGAAAUUCAUUUAUUACCUUAAGGAAUGUCAAAAAGGGGACUACAUCGAAAAUUUUCACCUAUUCCAUAGCUUUCCAACGGCACCAGACUCGUUUCGACAAACAGUUGAAAAAAUUAUAGUGAAAACAGUAUAGAAAAAUACCGCAUGCAGUUCCUUCUGUCGACAUUGCAGUGUUGUUUCCCGUCUGAUGCCGCUCACUUCGCCAAUUUUGGGUCCACGAAUAAACAGAGUGUCCGUGUUUCCGUCAAUUCGAAACUGCUCUAAAACUGUAAGGAACUAGAGAGAGUGUUCUAUAAGAAAAAGUUGUGCCUCGAUGAUAUUUUCCCAGUAGCGUAUUAUUUGCAUCAUUUCGACGAGCGGUUUGUAAAAAAAUGCUCACAACCACUCAUUUAACUACCGUGGUAGAAGAACAAUGCAGAAUAUGUUGGGUAUAUGACGACACGCGAUGGUGCAGGUGACCCAAUGCCAGGGUGAAAUAAAUGGAACUAGAGAUGUCGGACGGUGGCUAAGCUGCCAUGACCAUCGAGGAGUUUUGUAGGAGAAUGCCUCUCGGGAUGGUGUGCGCGCGUGCGGCCAUGUCGGGUUGAAGCCCCCGCGCCUGCUGGACACGGGGGCGUCGGUGACGGAACCGUAGUCCAAGAUUUCCACAGAGUCAUCAGGGAUGGCACCAGGAACGUUUGAUGGAGGUUGACAUGAUGGAUAUUUACAGCGGGAGAGAGAGAAAACUAAGGGGGCAGUGCUCGGCGACGACAUGGAGGGUUUGUAAUGGAGGUGGGAAGCGGAGGAUGGACAUAACAACCCUUGUAAGCGACAACCCUGACCGGCAAGAAACACGAAGGGUAAGAUUAAAUUAGUAAACUCAAACGGGUCAAAGAAAGUAGUCGAACGAUGGUAAAUAUUGGUCCAUUUUCACCUAGGAACACAAUAUCAGAUACGGGUCAUUUUCAGACUGGUGUAUGAUAAGUAUCAUGUGGAUCCCCAAAAUGAUUAUCAUGAACGCAACCGAAGGGCCUGGUCGGUGAUAAUGCUCAACACUGACAAUUGGUCAGUGGCCGGGUCGAUGAUUAUGUGUCAGUGCUACGCGGAUCUUUAGUGGUCACUAUAAUAAUUUUUAUAUGAUCAUAUGGUCAUAGUUUAGUAUUGAAAUGUUUAAGUAUAUGAAGUUCACCCCAGAACCUACAAGUACACAAAUAGCAGGGCCGAGCCCAUAGGUGUGCGGAUGGUGCGGCCCGCCAGGGCCCAUCAAUUUUGGUGGACCCAAAUUUUUAUAUAGGCCUACGUAUAUUUCUUCAUGGGCGCUGAGAGUGCAGCCUAUGUGCCAGCGCAGGGCCUCCAGCUCCAAGGGACACCUUAUUUUGAAAACAACAGUAUAGCCCAGUACGCAGAAAUAGGCCCAUUCGAGGCACCAACCUUGUUAGCCCUGAGGUGGGCAUCUGAAUCACCGGGACCUCCUAUGUGUCGCUUACUGCGGCAAGGAGGCGCAGUUUCGCACAGGAGACGGGUCUGUGCCGUCUGAUUCAAUCAAUCAUCGGAUGCUUUUUCAUCAAAACCUGUUUAAAAUUUUAAUUAGAAAGAUAAUUAACUACAUGUGGAUAGAUCUACUAGAUGUUGGAAGCUUGUUGAACCAAUCCAUAUAUAUAUAUAUUUAAAAACAUGUUAAAACUAGAGUUAAGGUUUAAAAGAUGUGAAUAUUUUUUGAAGUAUUUAAAUCUGUCUCUAAGCAGCAUUUCAAAAUGGUUAAUGACUAAACAAACUUCAUAGUCAAAUUCUACAUAUUUUUCUAAUCAAUUUUUAUAUAUAACAUGUUAAAAUUGGAUUUACGGUUUAAAAGAUAUGAACAUUUAAAAAAACAUUUGAAUCUACAAAAAAAAGUAUAUUCUCUAGACGGAUGGCGGGUUUAUUAACCAAAACCUCACAGGAUUUUCUGCAAAAUCAAAAUGUUUUAUAUUCUUACUUAAAAUAGGACCGCAGGUUGAUUAACUGAAACCUAAGGGGGGUUUCUACAAAACGCAAAACAUUUUUCUAUCACACUUAAACGGGGCCACGGGUUGAUUUUGGGGAAGUGCGAGGUUUUUUUUGGCAAAAAGCGCGACGGACGGGCAGAGACAAUCCUCUCUUUAAUAGUAAGUAGGUAUAGAUAUAGAUGUACACUCAUAGACAAUUCUGGUGUACAAUCAAGAUACGGAGAAAUUCUUCGAUUAUGUUAAAAAAAGUGUGAGCAAGCAAACAAUGAAGUACAUAACCUAUUUGAGCAGUGUUUGAGCAAGAUAACUGAGAAGUUGUUCGCCCAUUAGAACGAAGUUCAGUAAAGUGACCAAGAAGUUUACAAUUUCGACAAUGGUUGUUUCCCCUUAGUGAGGACAGAAAAGUUAUUACAAGUUCAAAAUUCGAAUGACUGAAAACCAAGCACUGAUGAACGAAAAACGGGUGCAGCCAAAUUAUUUGGGAAGUGAAGAGAGAAAUUCAUUGGGAAUGAAAGGAAGUGCCCAGUGCUUUUGGCCUGAAACUGACAAAAUAAACCUCACAAAUUUCCGUCAGACCAACAGUUGAGCAGCUGAUCUUUAGAGCAACACACGGCAAAUCAACAAGUUUUAAUUCAGGAACAUAACCACCACUCUAUAUUUAUUUAGAGAACACAUGUUGGGGCUUGAUGACAUGGUGCUGGAGAUCCAAGGCGUCCUCCUCUUCCCACCCCACCCCUGGCCCUCCAGUUGCACUCCCACUGCCCCCCCUUAGGUUGAGUGAGUGGAGGCUGGCUCCCACACUCCCUUCGAUGCGUGCUCAUGGAGGAGCUGCACGAUAGCUGUUUUAUAGACAGCUUUGUAAUCAACAUUUUUGCAUAUGCAUAUAUCACAAGCGAAAGUGAAAAUAAAAUUGAUGACACGGUAACAUUAUUUUUAUUCCAAGUGAAGGUAAAUAGAUGUUACAACAAAACCAUUUCAUAUAAAAAACAAAUUAUGAAUCAUUGACCCUAUAUGGUGCUAGCAAGGCAAAAGUUAAGUGUGACCGACAUGCCCACCGCAAAGUUUUCAUCCAACAACUUUUUCGCCUCCAUAGCAAGAAGGCCCAACCAACAGUCGAUGAAAGGUUUGUCCACUCUCUCCACACAGGCAGGCAGCUCAGAAGACAGCAACCCAUCAUUGGCUCCGCCCUUGCGACCAUGGUACUCCUUUAUCAUUGUGUCACAUAUGUUGAGUAUGCUCACCAUUCGAUCGUAGUCCACCAUGCAGUAACUGAGGGCACGCAUUGUAGCCGUGCCAUUCUUGGUGUCUUGCAGCAUUUGUUUGACAUUACCAUUCGCCGCAACAACUUGGCCCUUGAGUAUGUCGAUGGCGAUGUGUAUCAAGCUAUGGAGAUCCUUAGCCUCGGCACUCCGAUUGUCCAACAUGAGGGUCGACACGCAAAACUCCUGCGUGAUUGGGUUGGGGUCGUAUAUUUUGUUUUUCAUUGAGGCAUUCUUGCAUGCUUCCACCAUGAAGUUGGUUACCUUGGGUUUGGCCCCACCAGAGGCACUAGAUUCGGCAGCGAUGGUAGUGGAAAGGAGCAUGAUAGCGAUGGCAGAGAAGAAGAUGGAGGUCGCCGACAUUGUUGCCUUUGCUAUUAGGCUAGUUGGAAGUCUUGAAAUGUAUUGAAGCUGGAGAAGGUGGAGAUAAAUGGAUAUAGAAGGAUUUGUAGGGAAGAAAUGGAUUGAUUAAGUGAUGUGCAUGGGUUGAGAUUUUUAUAUAGAAAGCAGUGGCGGUUUAGAAAUGCAGUGUGCUGCUUAGCCAUAGAUAUAGUAUGAAUUAAUAGUACUAGCUAUACAAAUAUGUUGAUCUCAUUUUAGAUCUUCCUGUAUUAAUGCCCUCUAUAUACAGAAAUAUAUAAUAGAUGCUUAUUUUAUAUCUUCCCAUAUUAACACACAUAAAGUUCCCAUAUGUUCAUUAUUGUGAUAAAUCUUGAUUACGGAUUUCCGAAUAGUAAAGAGUCCACAGAAGGUGUGCACACAGAUAUGUGGGUCUUCAUUUUGGAUCUCCUCACAUUAAUACUUCUUACUUAUAUAUUGGAGCACACAGAUAUGUGGGUGUUCAUUUUGGACCUCCUCACAUUAAUACUUCUUAUUAGCAUUGGUGUGUUGUAAAUAUACUUUUGUAUAACUGAUUUUCUAUCUCUGUGCUACAUUUAGAAUCGAUCAAAUUGACCCUUAGCAAUUCAAUGGUUGCAAAAUGUUUUCUUUUUUCUUUUUUGCAACUUGCAAGGUGCACAUCUCUAGACCCAAACUUACAAAUAAUUCCUCAAGGUGCAACCAUUUAGUUUUAAACUUCAAAUGUUAAUAAUAAAAAUUAGAGGGAAUUAAAGUUUCCUAAAAUGCGUGUGAUUUGUUGCUUUUAGCUGAAAAAAUUUAGGAGUUGUUGAAUUGUUUGAAAAUGUGGAUCAAAUACAACUUUGGGAAUUAUAAGCACUCUAACCGUCAUUUGGGGAUCUAUUAUAUAAUUAAAACAUAAGUAAAAGAAGACACCACGUUCUUCCACAUAAUCCAAAAUAAUAUACAUCGUUGAUCAAUAAUACGUACGGCUGAGUUUUAAAGAUAUUAUGUUACAUGAAAAAAGUUAUAUGUUAUGCAUAUUGAACUGACACGUACAAGGUGUGCUAAAAAAAGUUGGAAAGAAUAAAGGAAAAUCAUGUCUGUUCGUAUGCCUUCCAAUUGAAACCUCAUCACGGAAACACAUGAUCCAUAUUUGUUAUUACCUCACGAGACUUUGCAACUAAAAGAAAGAAAGAGAUCAUGAGCGACUAGGAUUCCUUUAGCCUGCACGAUGUGACAAAACAAAAGACCCACACGUAAACACAUCUGACAUCUAUACUGAUGUAAAGCCUCCGCCUGAAGGAGCUAGACUAAUAUAUAUUAAAAAAAAAGUCCCAGACCCAGCUCACCGAUGCACGUUCUUUAGAAAAAACAGAAGGCAAUAUAUGCAUGGGCGUAUGUUGGACUAAAACACGAUUAUAUAUGACAUGCCUCCUGGACGAGCCGAGGAUCAAAGUCACGAUGCGCACGCAUCUUAACUCCCACUGAUAUUAAGCCGACCAAAACGAAGGCACAACAUACAUUCAUAUGCGCCUGCAAUGCUCGGGGGAAUAUCUAUUUAUAUGUUAUAUGAAAACGAUUUUCAAAGAUAAGGAAGUAGGGUUGAAAUUUAAAAAAAAAACUCAAAGUCCUCACAAUUCCAGGGUUUGUCAUAUGAUGAGUUGUGGCCGGAAACAUGUAUACGCAAAUAAAACUAUUUUAAUGUAUCAGCAGCAUGCAUGUGUACUUAGACAAGCUCUCUCGCAUAUAUCAGUGGCACACCAAUCACUGAAGAAUAUUGCAUCAUUGAAAAUAAUGAUUCAAGUUAUGAACAUGUGUCAACCACUAAUCAGAUAAGAGUAAUGCAACUAGCACCAAUUAGUAAUCAGUAGUGUACUCAAUACAAUCACUUUUCUUAGAAAUUACAAAAAAAUAGUGAUUAUUAAACAAAGAACGUGCAUAUAUAUUGACUAUUCGUCACCCUGGGUGAGAAAAUAGUUAUUCCACCCCCCUCUAUUUUACAACCAAUGCACUGUAAUUUUACGUCCCGUAAGUUUUGUUUUAUUUCUGACGUAAAAAGAGACCGUAAGAAAAUAUAUCAUCGCCAUAAAAAAUAUUUUAUGUUAUGUAAAAUUACAAAUGUAAAAAUAUAGUGUAAAAUAUACAUAAACUCCAAAUUUUCUUGUCUUAUGACUUAUACUUUUAUUUUCUUAUAUCAAAUUUUACAUAGUGAAUUAAUAGGAAUGUAACUAUUUGAAUUCCAAAUGUAAUUUAAUUAUGAAGUGAUCGUAAGAUUACCUCGGGUGAAGAAUAACUUAUGAAUAGCAUCACUAUGUGUGUGUGUGUCUAAAUAUAUACAUGUAUAUAUACACACACAUGUAUACACACACACACACACACACACACACACAUAUAUAUAUAUAAUACCAUAUAAAUCACUAUGAAAUAUAUUUCCAGAUCUAUAUUGGUACUCUCUUUAUUUUGUACAUACGAUAUGAAUUUCUAAAUUCAGUCAAAUUUGAAAAUUGUCCGUCCUAUGAUAAAAUAAAUAGGACGUGCAUUUUGGGAUGUAGGAAGUGCAUGUCGCGAAAGAGAAAACUAGCAUUUCCUAGGCCAUUAGAUGCUCAAUAUUUGCAUUGAUACAUUCUAUUUAUAUAAUUAUUUAUUUAAGCGAUCAGUUUUUGGGUGUUGAAUAUCAGGGAAGUGAGGAAGUUUUCAUGCUUUUUGUUAAUACACACAUUAUCUCGGAUGGAGAACCAACAAAAAUCACUUAAUGGGAGCAAUAUGUGUGCAUAUAAGCAUACAGAGGUCAUUGCUUAAAUGGAAAUCUGCAAUACAGGGAAGUGAGCAAUGCAGUGAGUUAAACGGUCACAAAGUGUACAUACGAGCAACAAAUUUUCCUAAUUAAUUUUAAAAUUGUGAAUGAAAAUAUUGGCUAGAAUUAUUAUUACUGGGAUAGGAGGGUGAACAAGGGAAAAAAAUGAAAGAAUAGCAUAUAAUUUCAAUGUCGUGUCACAGGCCUCGAGGUCUUCCUUCCGUUGAGUCACUCAUAAAUGUCCUUAGCCACAACCAUAUAGAAACUUAUAAAAAGUAUACUGAAUAUAGUACAAUCUUUUCUGUAGACAUACCAAUGGACAAUAGCAAUGUGGUUCUGAAAUUAAAUCCAAUAAUAAUUAGUUGCGGGUCUACAUAACAGAAAAAACAAAUAUUACAAUAUAUAGUUAAUCUAGCCGCGCAAAUGCGCGGGUCACCCUGCUAGUCAUUUAUAAAACCCAAAAGUUGAGCCACAUACAUAUGAGUAACCUUGUGUGAAUUAUCUUGGGAUGGAAAUAAAAUUCUGUAAGCCCCAAAUAUUGGAAACCCUAAAAUCAUCUAAAGUUUAAAUGGAACCAAAAUGGAAAAUGGGAACUAAAGUAAAUCCCUCAAAAUGAGCUGACAAACUAAAUAUUUGAAAUGGGCAGGAAAAUAAAAAUUCCAUAUAACUCGAAUAACAAAAUAGGUCCAAUUUGGAAAAUGAGCAUAAAACAAAUGAGAAUUAAUACAUAGGUCUUAAUAUUUUAUUAUGGAAGGAAAAUUUACUUCCAUAAAACCUAAAUAAAUGUUUAAACUUUUGGUAGUACACCAAAAUGAAAUUGGAGCAGGUUUGCUUUUUGAAACCGAUUUGAAAUUCAUACAGAAACAAAAAGAGAAACAAAAUUUAAAACGACUAUGGCCAGCCAGCCAGGCGAGCUAGCCCAGCAGGCCCAAUCCAACAGCAGCGUGCACCCCAGCAACCCAGCUGUCGAAGUGGUACAUGCGAUUUUAUCUGAGUAGCCGGAUCAGCAUUAGACGGCCAACGCGCCCACAGACCUCUUUCUUCUCUCUCUCUCUCUCUCUCUCUCUCUCUCUCUGUGUGUGUGUGUGUGUGUGUGUGUGUCAUUGUUAGGUGGGACCGCCCAUGUCAUCAUCAACCUCAUGCUGAGGUCUCCGUGCCUACGAUCACGUCACGACCCGAGCGCAUGUCGCAUGUUCCCAAUGCCCCUGUCCACCCCCAGCCAUGUGGGCCUUGGCCAUGCGCUAUAAGAUCCUCUCCCAGCCUCGAGAAUGUAUCCUGUACACCGACCUAUCUGGUGCAUCAGAUGCUCCGAUAGCUCGUGGGCCACUAGAUGAGGAAGGAAGGGACCUGAUCCAUCUACAAGGGAGCCUACUGGUACAUUUGCAAAACAGACCCUGAGGUGCAGCUAAAUCUAGCAAAUCAACUCCCCCAACCCAGUUCGUCUCUCUCCCUUCGCCUUCAUGUACCACCGGACCAGGCUGAGCUCUCUCUCUCUCUCUCUCUCUCUCUCUCUCUCUCUCUGGCUUCUGGUGUUGAAGCACCAGCAUCCAGGAAAGAAAUCAUAUGGACCACCGGUAGCUCGAUGCGAUUAAUUGUGUCUACAUAGCGGCGUAGUGUUGUACCUCCGGAGAUAUCGACGCUACAGUUGAAUAGGAGCUGGCCAUCAUCCUUUACAACACGUGAUUCGAGGUAUGAGGAUGAAUUUGAUUCUUCUAUUUUCCAUGUGCAUUAAUAUUUAGUUCUUCCGGUCAUCAGUUUUCCCAAUUCGUUUGCAACUAGUGGCAUUUGGGAAUAUGAAUGCCUGGAAGGGGAAUUGCUAAAUCUAGGUGCACAUAGAUUUUUGGAUUCGGUUUUUCUUAUGUGUUACUGUUGUUUGUAGCCAACCUACUAUAUGUCGUGCUCAUGUGACAAUUUUCCCAAUUAGUGCAACCUUAUUACUAUGUGUACUGAGCACCAUUCAGUCUUUUCCUCUAUGUUUUGUUGCUCUGUACUUUAGCAUCAUCAUCUUAAAUUUUCAAGGUAAGUGAGAACAUGCUCAUUCCCAAUAUAUAUUUUUCAUAGUAGCAUCAGGAAUUCUUGCUCUGUACUAUAGCAAGUUCAUAAAAAAUUCUUGCGCCAUACUUCAGCAAAUGGAAACAUCUGCAGUAGUUCAAGAAUCUUGCGCGUAUUUGCUUCUUCCUUUAGGCAUGUGUCAAGUUCAUAUUCUAUUCUUAAAGUUCCAUCAACAAUGUUUCCCCAAUUCAUUGAAUCAAUUGUUGGGAGACAUUGUGACUGAUGUUGUUUCAGUUGACUUAAAUGCAUGAUGUUGUUGAUUGAAAAUAGGAAUUGUGUGACUUUUGAGGAUGGAUGAGCUACAAGUAUACCUAUAUAAUAUUAUCCUCUAUCACAAUAGUCUGAAUGUAAACGAAACAAAUGACGCGCUCGCUGUUCUGAUUCUUGGUUUGUAUAAAUUGAAAUAGGAGGUGCACUUACGAAGUCCAAUUUGAAAUUUGUGAAAGCAGUACUAGUUGUUUCUGAUCUAGAUUUUAUUUUGCCGCAAUCCUCCAAAAGUAACACCUUUGAUAUGUGCUGCUUGCCUGCUUGUUAGUAGGGUAUUCAUCUUGUUCCCUGCAGCUCCAGAAAUAACUAACUAUCGUGUGAUAAGGACCAUAAAAAGCUUAUUUUAAUCAUGAAUCAACAAGGAUUUUAGGAGUAGGAAGUAAGAACCAAGAUCUAUGAAACAUAAUUUUAUGUUUUUUACAAAUACUACUGAAAGUUUCAGCAAUACAGGCAUUAAUCUUGUCCAAUAUAUUGUUUUGUUUAUAUUUUUGUAUGUACAUCUGAAACCUGAUGGUGUUCAAGUUUUUCGGCUCCUCUCUGAAUGUUCAACUACAUGCUCAUCUGUAGAAAAAAUCCUGUUGUUCAAGCUAGUGUUCAAGUUGAAUAUUUUCCUCCUUCUGCAAGUUGUGGUAUCUCUUUCAGCUGAUCGGAAGAGCUGCUUGUGGUGGUUUACUUAUCAUACUAUGAAUGCUUCAAUACACAGUGGGACCUGUUCAAAUAGAUGUAUGUGUGGAGGAACAAUUGCAGAUACAGGAGUUCAACAAUGUUGAUGUAGAGCAAGAACACUUCUGUUUUAAUUAGAAGGAUUUUUUGGAACAAAAUUUUCCUUGUGAAAUUUAGUUACCCUUAUGGACACACUCAAUUCUGAACCCUUGUAUAUAUAGGAGUAAUAUAAUGUACAGAAAACUACAUCAUGGUGUUUUUUUAUCCCUGGUUAACAGUGGGCAUCCUUUUUAUGUGAAAACUUUCCAUUUGACAGAAAGUCGUGCUCAAAAUUUUCUCUAUAGCACAACUCAUAUGUAUGCAACCACCAAGGAUUUUAAUUUUGGAAACAAAAUAUUUCAGACCUCACUGAAAUAUGCGAAAUUUCGGAAAUUUUGCACAUUUCAUAAAUUUUUUCGGAUUUCAAAUAUCCUUAAUUUUAAUAAAUUUUAACAAAAUUUAGAUAUACUUUUAAAUCAGCUUGAAUGUGCAUCGAAAUUUCAGGGUUAGAUUUAGAAUAUUCCACUGAAAUUGUGUUCAGAUUUUUAACCCUGGCAACCACAUCGUUUUCUGCAGUCAACUUUGUAGUGGCAGUGUCCAUCUGUGUCGUUGACUUAUGAUGUUAUUGCAUUCUGACAUUUAAAAAGCUCCCCAAAGUUGGAUUAGUUUAUAUGAAUCAAUUAAGAAACUCAAAGGUAUUUUCGUGGAACUCCUAGAAACAUAUACAAAAGUGUCAAUGUUGUUGUCCUUGGUUUCCAUGAGAUUUGCAUAGUGCAUUCAUACAUGGUAGAUUAGUUAGUUCUAAGCUCUCGUCAACAUGAUUUAUCUUCCUAACAUGUCGAGUGGUGGAGGAAAUGUAGAUAAGCGAGCGAUGGGAACAAAAAUUAUCUAACUCAAUCUCGUUGGUACUGUCGUAAAGAACUGGCCAACGAAGAGUGAUGAGUUGGCUUUAGCAGAAUGCAUCACUGAUUUCAUAUAACUACAAGGGUUGUUCUGCAAAUGUGCCAGCAGGCUCCCUCAUACAGUCGUAGCUGGAUCAGGUCCCUUUCUUCUGCAUCUAGUGGCCAACGAGCUAUUGGAGCAUUCGGUGCACCAUAUUGCUCGGUGCACAUGAUACAUUCUCUCCUUUUCAAACCUGCAGUCCAUUCGAGGCACUAAACAAUGUAGUGCGCACUAAAUUCUCACCCUAGUUAUCAAUGUAGUGACAUAUUAUCCUCAUGUAGCUUUGAGAACCAUUUUGCCUCACAUUCCCCUCUAAACGAUUUCGUGAAUAUUUAGAAGUAUCUGAAAUGACAACACUUUACCCUACNNNNNNNNNNNNNNNNNNNNNNNNNNNNNNNNNNNNNNNNNNNNNNNNNNNNNNNNNNNNNNNNNNNNNNNNNNNNNNNNNNNNNNNNNNNNNNNNNNNNNNNNNNNNNNNNNNNNNNNNNNNNNNNNNNNNNNNNNNNNNNNNNNNNNNNNNNNNNNNNNNNNNNNNNNNNNNNNNNNNNNNNNNNNNNNNNNNNNNNNNNNNNNNNNNNNNNNNNNNNNNNNNNNNNNNNNNNNNNNNNNNNNNNNNNNNNNNNNNNNNNNNNNNNNNNNNNNNNNNNNNNNNNNNNNNNNNNNNNNNNNNNNNNNNNNNNNNNNNNNNNNNNNNNNNNUACCCUACUAUGUUUGGAAGGAAAUAAUCCGUGAAAAGUACUUACUUGUAGGUUUUGGGGUGAACAAUGUCCAUUUAAAGAUUUCCAAAAUAAAUUAACACCAUCUGCAUCCAUAAAAUUUUAUUACAGUAGAAAUUUUAAUUGCCAAACUAAGAAAUCUUUUUUUAGAUGGCAAACAAAAAAAUACUUUGACAGCAUGUUUUAGUUCACACAUCAUAGAGGCAAGUUCAUGCGUACACCGAAAAAAAUAUUGUAACAUAUUUCAUUAUUUGCGCCCAUCUCGGAUAAGAUUAAUAUAUAUAUGCACAAUAAUAAUGCACAUUUAUUAACCUGAUUUGUUCCAUAAAUAAAUCACAUAUUACUUUAUUUAUACCUUUAAUGGAUGAUCUUUAUUUUAUUGGAAAUCGAUCCAUGCAGAAGACACACAGUAGUACUACAAUUGUAAGUGAAUCCAACCUGCACAUAUAUGCGUACAGUGGGCAUUAAUCAAUAGCAUUUACGUGACCAAGAUAAUUAGAUUUAUGCACCAUACCGAUGCACUUAUAUAUAAAUCUCAACCCACCUGCACCUCCAACUAUCUCCUCCUUCCUCUCUAUUUUGUCCAAAUUAUAUAUUCUCGCUGCCGUACACCUAUCGCUUCCAUGGCCAUCUCAACCGUCGUCGUCAUGCUCCUUUCUUCUGCCAUGGCUGCCCACGCCAGCGGUGGUGGGAAGAAGGACAACACAAGCCUCGUGAUGAAGGCGUGCAAGAACAUCUCAGGCCAGCCAUUCAAGGUGGGCUUCCUGCCAGAAUUCUGCGCAUCGACGCUCCUAUCAGACAACCGGAGUGCCGAGGCGAAGGACUGCCGCGGCCUUGCACUCAUCAUUGUCGACAUACUCAAGGUGCAUGCAGCCGCCAUGGUAGGCAAGGUGGACAACAUGCUUCGCGAAGGCGGCCGAAUCGCCACGAAGGAUAAGAUAGCAGCUCGUGCCCUCAGGUUGUGUCGGGCGGACUAUGGCGGCAUGGUGAACACGCUCCAAAUCUGCCACAAUAUCAUUCAGGACUUCGGCCGAAAAGGUAAGCAUGGGCCGACACCCUCGGAGCUACCAGAGUGCGUUGAGAAGAUGACCAACAGCAUCAAGGACUGCACUCACGAGGUCUGUAGCACGUCGGUGGCGGGGACGAUGGCAAAUGAAAUACUAGAGAAGCUGGCAAUCGUCAGCAAAGCCUUAAUAAAUCUCUUCUUGGCCGACAAGAAGGAUGGUAACUAGGAGCUAUCUAUAAUAGCAUCGUGUGAUGUGAGGAUGGAAUUUAACAAAUACUACUCACAAAAAAGUUAAUAAAUAACAAAACAGUAAGUAAGACGUAGCGAGCUAUGCCUCUACACCUCCCACCCAUCCGAUCCGGGCAUGCACGGCCUUGGUUACCUCUGUCAUCCAUCCCUGCCCCAUUUUUACCGAGAGUCAGCUACCAGUCGUAAACUAGGCCACUACUUUGCAGAACAACUUCAGGGAUUUCCUGUGAAGCGGGCCAACCACACUCUGGGCCAGGGUAACUACGUCCGCAAAUCUCAGCCCUCCUGUUUUUCUCCAUCAAUGAUGUAUCUUCUCCCCUCGCCGCGGGGGAAGGCACAUCCCUCCCCCUCGCCAAUGAUGAUCAUCAGCAAGGGAGGUAACCGGAAUACUCUAGUUGUGAGACUGAUUUUAAGGUAGGCACUCUUUCUCCGCUUCUCAACUACAUCAAUCUCCUCCUGAAGUCCUCUUCCAGAUUUCACAACCACAACUCUAGUUGUCUCAACUUGCUUAUAAUUAUGAUUUGGUAACAAGUUGCCCUCGUGUUUGCUUAAGUUUCCCAAACAAUUUGUUCAACAUACAUGUUAUUUACACAACUUUGAUCCUUUUGUAGUACCUUUAGUUGGAGAAAGGUGCAUCCAACCACCUAUCCUACAUAUGAUCCAUUCAGUCUGUUGAACCCCUAAUGAAAAGGGAAACCUUUCCACCUGGCGCGCACUCGCCGGUCGCUCACUCACGUAGCGCUAUGCGUUUGGACCAACCCACUGCUUAAUUGUUGCCUUAUCUAUUCACACGCAAGGGGCGCUCUCCUCCACCCAUUUUUUCUCUCCCCAAAAAAUGCAUAUCUCUCUUUCUACCGUCGUCGCUGGCGCGGCACUCAGCUCUCUUCCCCCAGUUGUGCGGCCUGCAACUACAUCCACAUGAGGGAGGUUGCGAAUCGAGGGGGACUGCAGUGCAUGACGCCCGCGGGGUGUUUUUGCGGCGACAGAGGGGCAACGAGAGGUGGAAGAAGCAACAGAAUAAAAAGAUAGGAGAUCCUAUGGCUGAGUGUCAUGAGAUCCAGCAGCUAGCGCGCGACCGGCCCAAAUUUGGCCCUGCGCACCGGCGCCUAGCGUUGGCCUAAUGAGAAACUGGAUAUGACCAUGAAAAGGGUCGUGGUCAUGGCACAGUAACAGACUUCCUCUUUUUCAGUUAUUUCCAUCAUAAAAUGAAUUAUUAAUGUAUCGUUAUUUAUCCCGUAGAUUGAUGACAUCAUUUUAGUUUCUUUUCCUUUGUGCUGACAUGUGGGACCCACUGAUCUUAGCGAGAUACACUAAGCAAUCCAUUUGUUGGAAGUGGGUUUCACGCCACGAAUAUAUGGCCACUUCAGUGCAUUUUACGUCUAUGAAUCGGAUUAUCUUCGUGCUUGCACACUUUUGCCAAGUUGUAGAAUCAGGUCGGUGUAUUUUUCAAGUUCAGGCAUGAACGUCGUUGGAAGUUUAAGCACCGUUAUUGAUAUGACCUCUUAGAAGAAUAGGCCCACAACUUAAGACCCCAAAAAACAAAUACACAACUUAAGCUUACAAAUUAGUCCGAUUCAAUACAUUACCGGGCACUUAGACUCCUAAUUGCCUUUUCCAUUUCUCUUCUCGACUCAACCAGAGAACACUUUGCCGGCUAACAAGGCAAGGAACAAGGCGGCGGCGGCGGCACAAUUAACCACCCUACCCUGUCGCUUGUACACUUGCUCGCGUUCUAUUUGUCUUUGCGCCGAUGCUCCAAGAUGUUCCCUCAUCUCUCUCCAGUCAAGAGCAUCCUUCUUGGCUUCCCUUAUAUGGUACGCCAUGCGGCCCUCCCGGGAUUGAGGAAACUGAGGAUCCCUACUCUUCCUCGCUUGCUUUUUGUGCCCUAGGUUGAGUUUACAAGGAUCUUUGUAGGACUUCCUGACGGAAGAGCUGGAGCUGAAAAGUCGAGGACCCCCAUGGCUGGCCCGUCGGCGCGCCGGACGAGGAAGCACCACUCCUCCUCGAGCGCUCACGGCACAGAUAUGGGGGCUGAAGAUAGGAGGCGUGGAAGCCGCUGAUAGAGCACCGCGGGGGAGCGGAUCGCUGAUGCCAUCUCUAUAUCCCUCUCUCUCGACGGCGCUGGCGCGAGUUUGUUCCACCUUCCACCUCUUGGAUUUCGCGACGGGGAUUUGGGGUCUUGGCAGCUACUUCAGGCUGGACGUACCGAGCAGGCUUUUCGGCCCGCUCAUGGCCCGUUCGGUCUUGGCCCGCUCGGUCCUGGCUCGCUAUAAAAAUUGAACGGUCCAGUCUGUCAAAUUGGGUCCGAAAAAAUGUCGGUCCGGUCCGGUCUUUCACCGGGCCGACCGAGCGGACCGAGAAAACACAGCGACAGCCGCCGCCGUUCCUCAUCGUCGCGGCCACCGGCAGCCCUCGGGUAACCACCGUGUCUUCAAGCUUGCCUUUCUCUUCCAUUCUCAUCUCCCCGUUUCGUCCUAGCAAUCUAGCAUCUUGCCGUCGCUGUCGUGUGUGCACCGCAGCCGCUCUCGAGUUCUCGACCAUGGCAUCGACCACAACUGUUGCACCAAUUCAUGCCAUGGCGGCGGUAUUUUUUGCCAUGGCAGCACUUUUCGCCGUGGAGACAGACAAAUGCCAUGGCAGCCACUUCAGCAGAGCAAGCACGCACGUAGGCCACCAAUCAGAUCGUGGGAGAAAUGCUCCACCCUGAUUCUUGGAUCGUGGGAGUAAUGGUCUGCCGUGACUUUCACGUCUAACAGACUAGUAAACAUGCACGUGCACGCACGUCUAUAACCACCAAUAACAUAGAAAAAUGUGAAACACUUCUAGCGAUCGACCCAACGCCAUGCGCCCGAGCCUGCACGUCCUCUCUUUUACCAUCUUGCAUCUUCCUUUUUUUUCCUUUCUCCAGGAAAAACAUCAUCUACACACACUUCCUUAUCUUCUUCUCCCUAGCAUCGGAUUGCCAAUCAACCAGCAGCUGCAGCUCCGCGGUGCAUGCUCAUGCCCAGGUCUCCCACUCCAUCCGCCACCACGCCCAUGCCCAGCUGCUGAUAGGCCCUGUAAUCAUUUGGUCCACCCCUGCCGCUCUAAUUUUCUAGAUCCUCCUAUACCCACUUCUCAUAUUCUUCCGAGUGAUUUGAACCAGCAGAAUUUAGCAUAUACUUUCAAGAUAAAACUGAUACUGAGCUAUGUUACAUGAAGAUGCCAUUCAUUCUCCAUUAGUGUUAAAUGCACAGCUCCUAGCAGUCCACAUUCUACAUGUGAAAUGUGUUACAACUUACAAGCAUCUGCAGAUUUUCUUAUUGUUUCAGAUAGCACUAUGUUGACUGAAGUGCUCAACAUGACGCAGUUAAAUGGUUGGAUAAUCAUGGCAAUUCUUCUUUGGGCUGGUCCUUAAGUUUAGAGAAUAGAAGAUCUACUACCAAAUUAGCCUAAAACAGCACAAUUCUAGGUCCAGCGCCUUGGCCUAUACAGCCAGAUAUGAUGUUUGUUCCUUAAACUAUGCAUACAAGUGUGCAAUAUCUCAUGUCUAAGGAAUGAAUGAAAUUUCUGACUUCCUAGAGAGGGUCAUGGACUUCAGAAGAGCUCAUGAAAAUUCCAGAAAAAAAAGAGCUAAUCGAAAUUCCAGCAAAAGAAAAAGUUAAUCAAAAUUGGGCGACACAUAUGUAUACAAUCUCCGCAUUUCCAAUUUUCUGUCAAUUCGAGCAGAAAACUGGGAGAUUGUUUCCUAGAGCAUGUGCAACAGCCACAACCCAAGGGCCAAGAUAGUACAAAACUGAAAUGAAAAUAGAAGAGUGUAUUACAGGUAUGGAAAAGCAGGAAAGCCUCAUACUCAUUCGCGACAUAGUUGGUUCAGAAUGUCUGCUCACAAGCUAUUUACCUAUUUUGCCAUCGGACAAUUAAAAAGAAUACUUGUAUUGCAGUGAGCUUUUUAGUUUGCAUCAGUCAAAUCACACAUUACCAGUACCAGCUCUAUAUUCCGCAUAUUGCAGCAAUAACUUGUAAGAUAUGUUAGAAAUAGGAGCACUGAGGUACACCCAUCUAAAUAAUAGCUCACCAUCGUUACAAUUCAAAUACAGUAAAUUUAACACCAAAUAUAAUUUGCUUUGUAUAAGAUUCAACCUGAAAAACCCAAGCCCAUAUUUACGACCAAAUAAAGUAAAUGCCCACUUUAUUCCCGUUGUGUAUCAUUUAAUAGCUUAUUACCACUCUUCCAGAAUGUAAGGGUAAUUAGGCUAUUUUGGGAACAUUAAGAUAUGCGAUCGAAUGGUACAGAGUCAUAUAUCAUUACACUUAGGAGUGAAAUACCUAACUUAUAUGCUUGAGAGAUUAUCUUACGUUUCAUGACAUUACCUAAUAUUUACACCGCUCAUCAGAACGGAAUCCUCGGCAAGGAACAAGCAACCCAUUAAGUUCACGGAUAGCACCCAUCACUUUCUCCUGUCAUUUGUUAGAUUAAUUAAAAUUUCAAACUUGCAGCCACAGUCAUAGGAUAAAUGUAAGAUAAACUCUUCUAAACUGGAUAUGCAUAAAGUGAGCGUAAUAGAACCUGUUCUUGGCAACUGACCUACUUCCACCAUAUGACAUUGUAGUCUCGAUCCUACUAUCUAGAUCCCAUUGGAACAACUGCAAAGGGAGGAAAAACCAUUAAAAAACCUGCUAUAACCAGAACCAAGCAAGAAUACUAAAUCCAGUCCAAUUUUAUCCUGCUAGGGUGUGGACCUUCUACAACUUCGAGUGGCGCUGCACUCCCAAGUCUUUUUAUGAGCGUAUACCAGCAUGCAUUAGCUGUGUGGAAAUCAUUCAGAUGAGCUGGAAGACAAAUUGAAGAAAAUACAAAAAGAAAAUCAUAUUAGUAUCGCUGCAAGCAAGACUAAUUGAAGUUUCAAUUGAUAUGAUUUUACACAUAUAUUAUUCAGCCCAUAUACCAGCAUCAGACAUAAUAUACCAGCAUGUAUUAGCUGUGUUGAAUUGUCAGUCCAAUUCAUAUACUGACAACUAAGGAACGAAAGAUCAAUCAUGUCCGUUCAGGUACUCAAAAUUAUACACUUGAUGGAAUUGCAUGCAUGUGAUCUCAAAACACUAAGAAUCGAUGAUUUGUGUAGCCAACAGCAGGAUAAUCACGCCACGCAAGUUCAGACUGACCUGACCACAGCUGCGCCCCUGUGCGCGAGGUGAGAACUGCUUCGUCAGCGUCAGAGCUCGCAAAGCGACGACCUGCAUACCACAACUGCCUCAUUUUCACGUCACAACUCACAGGACGACGGACUACACACCACGGCUAGCCUCAUUUUCACGACACAACAAGCAGUGGGCGUGCUCCUGUACUGAGACAAUUCAGAAACAUGGGAGACGGAGGAUGGCUAGGAAAUCUCACCAGGCUGGGGCUCCCGAGCGAGGAGGAACGAGUAGAUCGUGGUGUGGCCGUGAUUGUGGUGAGACGAACUCGGCGGCGAGCAGUUCUCUCAGCCGCCACAACGAAUGAUGCCGACGACAGUGGCGGCCAUUCGGCGCCAACGACCCUACGAGGGAGGGGGAAGACCGCGGCGCGGUGGCACUCGAGCGAGGGAGGCGGCGACUGCGAGAAAAGCAAUUCUCCCAUGCAUGGGAGGUCCCGUGCAUGGCUCAAUCGUUGGAUUUAGAUGGAGACUUGGAUGCAUGCACACCUCUUCUAGUUGUAUUUCACCCAUUAAUGAACCCACCCUCUCUCAUGCAGCACACUACACCCAUGCUUUUUCAUGUGAUUCCAAAGUUUGAAAUCAUUUUAUCUUAUGAACUGAAAUCCCGAUUUCACUUUCGUUUGCAUAUUUAUGUUCCUGGUGACGGGGACUUUUAAACAAGAUCAUCUUCAAUAUAUUUUUCAUAAUUUUUGAAACGUGAUAAAACCUUACGAAAGAUGGUGAAAUUCCAUGAAACAUGGUGUAAAAUUCUAUGAUAUAGUCUGCGGAACUCAUUUCAUGUCAAUUUGUUUCUAUUAAGAACAUCUUAUACAGUUUUGUAAUUUGAUGGGCUUUAUAUUCUAUAGUUUCACCAAGUUACAAAUUUAUUUAAAAAAAUUAUGGAAUAUAUCCAUGAUCGAUCUUGUUUAAAAGAUCUCCUUUUCAGGACCCCAAAUAUGCAAACAAAUCAGAAAUAAAAAAUUCAUUCAAAAGCUACAUGGUUUUAAAAUUUCAGACUCUGCCUUAAAAUGUAUGAGUAAAUAUGAGAAGGGGAAGAAUCAGAUAGGGUCAUAGGGUGGAGUAACUACAAGUCAUAGCCUCAUAGGUAGUACGGUGGGACACUAGCAUGCACGGGAGAUCCCGUGCAUGGUAGAAAAACCAUUCUCGCGGCGACUGCAGAACCCUAGCGCGUCGAUGCCUCCGGGCGUCCUUGCAGGGCAGGCCACCGAGGGUGCCGAUGGGGAAAGGUGAAGGUAGAAAGAGGGUCAUUCUUGCAGGUGAAAGGAGGGGGGCACACGAGGAGGGGAAUGGAGGAGCGGCGGCUCAAGGAGAGGGGCGGCGCGAGGUUGCUCCGGAUCUGUCCUUCUCGAUCUGGGGAGAAAGAAGGGUCGGCGAGGCUCAAUUCGGUUGUUGCAGGCGGGGCCGCGGGGACUUGGCAGACCACGGCGUGGCAGAACAUUUGAUCUCAGCCGUUUAUUCGAUUGGCAGACCUUUGAUGAAAUAUGGACAGUUGGAUGUGUUUAACUUGAUUUGAUUGGAGGGUCCUGGUUACUCCGCGUACAGUUUGUUGUGUGGCUUUAAGCGAAUUCAUGUUUGCUCUUUUAAUAGUAGUAUAGAUAUAGAUAUAGAUAUAGAUAUAGAUUAGGCAAGUACAGUAUUGCUUUGGAAGGCUCUAAAUUUAGCGACGGCUUCCUAUAAUCACGCGUCAUUGAUCCCUUCGUUUCUUUUAUUGAGUCAAAAAUCAUGGCGUCAUUUGACGACCUUCUCCACGUUAGAUUUGAUCCGCUAAUCAGGGCAAGAUCCGCACAGCGAAAAUCAUGGGCUCAUUCACGCGCAACAUUACUUGCAUGCAACAGAAAAAUUGCCAAGAAAUACAUCGUGUGCUGGUUCAUGGCUACAUCAAAAAUCAAUCAAACAACAGCCGCACCGCCCAGCGCACUUCCACUGCACCUGCACGUCACCCACCUCGCCGCUGCACCCAUGGACGUCGCCGCCGGUGGUUGUUGGCCGGUCCGCUCGGUCCGGCCCGGGCUUUGCCGCCGAUGGUCCGGUCCCUAAAAACAGGACCGCCAGGUUGGUCGGUCCGGUCUGGUCCGAUCAGGACCGCCGGCGACCGGUCCAAACGCUGGCUCGGUCAGGGACCAGACCGGCCCAAACCGUGUCCACCCUGACAGCUACUAGUGUUAAAAAACGUCUUACAUUAUUAGACGACGGGAGUAUAUAUAACGGGCCGUGCUACGAAUCAGCCAGAUGAUUUCAUAGAGAAAUCAUCCACCUGCCUAGCCGUCGAAUCAGCGCUGUGGAGCCGUUCGAUGCAGCAACUCCACGACAGCAGACCAUCUUCGACGCAACGAGGUGCCAGCUCCUCUGCAGCACGGCGCGGUGCGACCAUAGCUCCAAUGGAGCGUCAACGACAUCCGGUGAAGCUGCAUUGUAGCCCCGGCGAAGCUCGAACACAGCACCAAACGGCGUCCGGCGAAGCUCCAUUGCAGCGCCAGCUAUGCUUCCAGCGGCCCGGCGUUGCUCCAUUGCAACACCGGCGGCGCUCCCAACAGCUUCAACGCAACAUCAUCAGAGUUUCAGCACCUCCGUCGGCCAGUCGCCGGGGUCACCGUCGCAGCACCAGCAACUUCCAUUGCAACUCUGGGGGUGCUCCCAAUAGCUUCAGUGAGAAUUCCCUCGGACGGGAAUCUCCCCGCAACACCGGCCGCUCCCGCGGCGUCGACGAUGCUGCAUCGGUAUGCUCUGCAGCACUAGGCGCUCACCGGCAGCACCGUCGCGCUUCUCAACACCGGCAGCAGCAAGGCCGCGCCAGGAACUGCAGGUCGACGCGGGGUGCUGCAGCCUGCAGGUCGCAGACGAGGGCUGAUGGUGGAGAUGUGGGGCAGCUUGCUCUGACGAGGGUAAUCGCGAAGUGGUGGAUGGAUGUUGCGUCGAGACGGAGGUAGGAGAGGAUGGAGAGAAAGGGGAUCUUGCUCCAUCGCUGGUAGGGGAAAAUGGAACGAGCCACUCGCUAGGGAUAAGGCAAAAAAUCCUAUACGACCGGGUUGUACGGACCCGGUCGUGAGACCCACUCCAGCGCUCGCCAACUGUCCGUCCGAAUCAUAACGCAACAGGCGUCUCCUGUUUCCAAAUCACACUCCUUAUCUCCUCCAACGCCCCCAAAAUCCAGCCGCUGGUCAUGCCAUUCUCGCCACCGCCUGACGGCACGGCGCACCCGCACCACUUUCCCCUGGGAGCCUCGCCGCCAACAGUGCCGGGCGCGGUGGUGCCUCACGCCCCCGCCACGUUCCCCCUUCCCUGUUUGCAAAUCCAGAUUGAAUCUCGAACCAUUUAUUCUGCAGGAUAUGCUUGUACUGAAAUUAUUAUCUUAUACAUUGACAGAGCAUGGAAGAACCAAAAGGAAGUUGAUCAGGAGGAUGGCAAGAGGAAGACAAGAACCAAAUUAAAGUUUGUUGCUGUGCAUGUCUGUAUCGAUCAAGAUUCAGUGCUAUGUAGAAAUGUCCCUGAGAUUUGUUUCACUCAACGAGACCAAACAAUCAGGAACACAAGUAGGAUAGUUGAUGCUUUUUUCAUUUUUCUUGUGAUAAAAAGGAAUCUUCAUCUGCCAAGAAUACGACCUACAAGCAUGUAUGCCUAAUUGCCUAUGUGCUGAUUUAACAAGCUCACAUACAUGUCCAUUUCUGAAAAUAGUUUACCCAUCCUCAAACAUAUAAUUUGUGUGUUUUUGCUUUCCAUUAUAUUGAGAAAAACAUAAGUUUCAUUGGACCUUUUAUUCAUUCAGGAGCUCUAAAUGAUACCGUUGUAUUGGCAACAUAUUCAGUCAUUUCGGAUGAACUUUCACAGUCAUUCUGGACUGUCCAUGCCAAAUUGUUGGUGUGUGCUGUAAAAAACUGAAAAAAGGCAGUUCAUGUUUAUUUUUCUUCUGAAUUUUGUUCCCUAUAAGAUCUGGCCUACUGUAUACUCUUGGGAUAAAUGAGUGGUGACAUUUGUUGUUGUCCACUAUUUUCUUUGCAAUUUCCCUGAUAUGUUGUCAACAAUUUGGCGUGAACAUUCCAGGUUUGUUAGAGACAAAUUCAUAAGGUUUGACGAUGCAUGUUGGCCAAUUGUCAGGUAACAAAGCAAGCAUAUAGCUACAGAACAAAAGGAUAUAGUCAUUUUUAUGUUCCAACAAGUAAAUGGUAGCGACAGAGUGGCACCCAUCCAACAAAGGAUUUGAGGCAGAUCAAUACCCUUAUGCCAAUAUACAUGGUUCAGUUCUGAACCAUGCACACAAUCUAAAUACAGACAUCAGCAGUUCACUUUUUUGUUACUGAAAACCCUCAGGGCCUCACCUAUCCAUGAUGGUUGAAAGAAGUAGUAGAGAAAGAUACCACACAAGCUGUUACAAAAAAGUACAGAGAUCCAAAGGUACGGCAUCACCUAAUCGAAUUUACAGUGACAAGUACCACCACAAAACUUAUUGCUGGACCUAUACAUCACACAUUGAUCUUCACAUCCAUGCCCUUGACAAUAAAGGGGAUAAAUCGCGUGAUGGAUGGGCUGGAGUUUGUUGCCAUGGCCGAUUACGCAGCGUCGAUCACCAGGAUGCCCGAUGGAUAGCCGUUGUGCCAGCUCCGAGGUGUCGUGCGGCCGCCGUCCACAAGACCUCAUGCAGUUCGUCGCCAUGGCUGACUUCGCGCAUGACGGAGCAGAUGGAUGGGUAGCCCGUGGUGGUACAUCGAGGACGACGUGCCGCUACACUGCCGCCGCCGUGUCGUCAGGCGGUGGCGAGAAUGGCAUGACCAGCGGCUGGAUUUUGGGAGCGUUGGAGGAGAUAAGGAAGGUGAUUUGAAAACAGGAGACGCAUGUUGCGUUAUGAUUCGGACGGACAGUUGGCGAGCUCUGGAGUGGGUCUCACGACCGGGUCCGUACAACCCGGUCGUAUAGGAUUUGAUAAGAGACUGUGCGGGUGCGUGACGUGGCCCACAAGGACGCGUGGCGGCCGGGCGACGGGCUGGAAUUGGACGGCAGGACAGGCUCUCCUCAGAUUUGGAAAAGAGACACUAGCUAGGGACGGUUUCAUCUCAUCAAAAAUAAAACUUUAGAGACGGUUUGAGCCUAGCACGUAGGUAGAACCACACGAGUCACGAACUCACGAUUCACGUCACGUAGUACAUGUAACCGGGCUGGAAUCGGACUCGGGCCACCAUCUAUAUGUACACGGCGUACUCCCAAGGAACCGGACAGCUAAGAAGCUGCGUCCAUGGCGACGGCGAGGAGGCGCAAGGCGAAGGCCGCCAGGGCAACGGCCGCGGAAGCCAUGAAGAAAGCCACGAAGAAUGCUUAUGCGGCCAUGGUAAUACCCGAUGAGGAGUCCCGGCAAGCCAAAGCGGAGGCCAAGGAGGCCACCACGACGGCCGCGGCGAAGGCCGAGGAGUCCAUGCAAGCCGCCAGGACCGCCAUGGCGAAAGCUGAAGAAACCGCCAUCAUAGCGAACGUGAAGGCCGAGGAAGCCAAGAAGGCAACAGAAGCCUACCGCGAGGUGUGCCGGCAGGAGGACGCCGAAGCGGAGUGGGCGCAGUGCGAGGAGGAGCUCUUCGCCGCCCAGUUCCGACGCUACUGGAACAAGCUCGUCGCCCGCCCCGGCGUCACCUUCCAUGAAACCAGUAAGAUAUAUAUAUAUAUAUCAGCAUACAUACAUAUAUUUGACCAGUUAAUUGCUCGUUUGUUUUCAUACUUAAUUGAUGCACAACAUCCGAUGAACGCAGCGUCGAUCCCCGCCAUGCGGUACACGCACCCCGCUCCCCAAGAUAGCCCCAAGGCCAUGGCUACCCUGCAGAUCACCUCUGUGAAGGUUGCCGCAAUCGAUGAUUGCUUGCGAUGGCCGCUGCAGGUGUAUGGCAUCAUCGCGGCACGAGAUGUAUUGGAUCACAAGCGCAACAUUCUUUUCCACCGCCGGAGGGGUGACUGUCAAAUCAUCACUCAAGAGGUUCGUACAUACAUACAUUCUAGAACAAUUGGUCGCCGCGUAGUUUUAGAUUUGCUGUUUUUGGCCCCAAGUAUCAUAAUUUCAGGUUUUACCAAUCAGUUUCAUUUUUUGCUCUGCUGUUGAAGAUGCUCUUAAUAUUAAUAUUUACAUGAAUAAUUGCCAUUCCCAUGCAGGAUCCGUACCUAGCAUUGACACGGGCCCUAGUCGCGCCAUUGCCGUGUCGAGGGACCUUUCAUACAUCGAGGUCUCGCUCAAGAUGAAGGGUGCGACAAGAACUAGAUCCGAGGAUAGAGAUUUGAGCGAUCUGGUCCUGGGAUACGGGACCGGAUUAUGUCUCGCAGGCGUUUACCCCAGCAGGCUCAGCACACUUGAACUAAAAUCCAGUCACAUUAAUCGCUCCGUGGAGGCCACGGUCCGCAUCAAAAUCACCCGCAGGCCGUGGCCGGAUGGUUUCCCAGGCGUGUUCACUGCCGGCACCGUCAGCAACGAUGGCCUGGAAGUCGCCCGUCGACUCUGGCGGCGUGGUCAAGCUCCAGCGCCGCGUCGUCUCCGUCUACAUCGAGGGAAUGCUCAAGGUUUCCGUGGUGGCAUGUCCGGUUGACGAGGAACGGGGCUUCAUCCAGAGGGGCGAGGCGGUUUUCAAACCAAAGAGACAAGGCGUGAACCUCCAGGAGAUUCAGGUUGGGUCUUGUAGUAUGCAGAUCACCGUGGCUUGGUCCUGUUUCCGCUAUGAGUAGUCUAUGCUCAAGAUAAACUAUUUUUCCCAGUGGUAUUUUGUACCGGAGAGUGUUGAUAUAUACAGUCUGAUCCUGGAUCUGUAGUGCUAUAGUGUCUAGUUAAAAAAAUUGCUGAUGGUAUUUCACAGGAAACACUCUGCAAGAAGAAUAGAAGAUGUAAGAAUUUCGUAGAGAACAGUUUGGUUCCUGUGCACCAAAGAUAUGGCCUCCUUUGGUUUAUAAGAUAUAAGAAACUAAUAGAAAUAGAAAAGUCAUAGAAAAUAAGAUGACACGUAUCUCAUAUCCUAAGGAUAGAAAUAGGACAGGAGAUGUCCUUUGAUUCACAAUAUAAGAAAAAGAAAAUCCAUUGACUCUGGGCUAAUGUUUAUUCCCUAUGAAACAUGGUGCAUAAAUAGAAUUCCUUUGUAUAAUAUUCCUACAAACCGAAGGGCUUUAAAGGAUUAUUUUUUCUAUAGAAAUCACAUCCUACGGAAUUUCAAUAAGAUUCAUCCAAAUCAAAGAAGGCCUAAGAUGAGUGCAGCAAUUCGGUGCCCAGGCUCAUCUGCACCCGGUCCAAAAGAAAAUAAAAAACAAUACAAGACAAAUUCAAAAAAUUCCAAACUUUUUUCCCAUGAUAGACAAUUUAUUGCGUGAGGUUCGCUCCAAAUUUUAGCUCAUUUAGGCAUCUGAGUAGCUCUCAGCAAAAAAGACAAAUUGGAUCAAAACAGUACAUGAAUAGUAAACUGUUUUACAGAACCUGAAUUUGUUUUUUUUCUGAGAGUUGCUCAGUUGUCCAAAGGAUUUGAAAAUUAGGACGGACCUCACGCAUCAAAUUGUCUACCAUGGGAAAAAAUUUGGAAUUUUUUAAAUUUUUCUAGUAUUUGUUUUGAAUUUGUUAUUCAACACGGGUGCAGAUGAGCCCGGGCUCAGAAAAGGACUUCUCGCCUAAGAUGGGCUUUUCAUUGAACCAGGUUUUCUGGGUCGCUCUAGUGGUUUAUUUCUCAUCCUGGUCAACAUAUUUCAUGGGCAGCAUUAUGUCUCGCCCACAGCGUGUAACGCUCUCGAUGCGGCUAUAUCUCCCACGUGUCGAAGCAUGACUUAGAGGCAUAAUCGCAUUGAAAGCAAUGUCGCAAGUGAGGUAAUCUUCACACAACCCAUGUCAUACAUAAGGGAAAGAGAUACAUAGUUGGCUUACAAUCGCCACUUCACACAAUUACAUGGAUAAAGCAUUACAUCAUCCAGAUACAAUCAAGGUCCGACUACGGAACCAAAAUAAAAGAAGACUGCCCCAAAUGCUACACAGAUCCCCGAUCGACCCCAACUGGGCUCCACUACUGAUCAACUAGAAUGAACAACACAAAUGAUAAGAUCUUCAACGAGCUCCACCUUGAGCUCGGUUGCGUCACCUGUACGGUAUCAUCCGCACCUGCAAACUGGUUUUGAAAGUAUACGUGAGUCACGGGGACUCAGCAAUCUCACACCCUCGCGAUCAAGACUAUUUAAGCUUAUAGGAAGGGUAAAAGUAUGAGGUGGAGCUGCAGCAAGCGACUAGCAUAUAUGGUGGCUAACAUAUGAAAAUGAGAGCGAGAAGAGAAGGCAAAAGCACGGUCGAACAACUAUGAUCAAGAAGUGAUCCUAAAACAACCUACGUCAAACAUAACUCCAACACCGUGUUCACUUCCCGGACUCCGCCGAGAAAAGACCAUCACGGUUACACACGCGGUUGGUGCAUUUUAAUUAAGAUAAACUUUAGGUUUUCUACAACCGGACAUUAACAAAUUCCCAUCUGCCCAUAACCGCGGGCACGGCUUCCAAAAGUUCAAACCCUGCAGGGGUGUCCCAACUUAGCCCAUCACAAGCUCUCACGGUCAACGAAGGAUAUUCCUUCUCCCAAGACAAUCCGAUCAGACUCGGCAUCCCGGUUACAAGACAUCCUCGACAAUGGUAAAACAAGUCCACCAACACCGUCCGAAUGUGCCGACAAAUCCCGAUAGGAGCUGCACAUAUCUCGUUCUUAGGGCACACUCAGAUGAGCGCUCCAUACAACUAAAACCAAACCUCGAGUUUCCCCGAGGGGGCGCUGCACAGGGCUCUAGUUUGGACCAACACUCAGGGGAGCACUGGCCCGGGGGGUUAAAAUAAUGAUGACCCUCGGGAGCGCGACUCCCAAGGGAAAAGAGGCUAGGUGGCGAAUGGUAAAACCAAUAUUGGGCAUUGCUGGAGGAGUUUUAUUCAAGGCAAACUGUCAAGGGGUUCCCAUUAUAACCCAACUGUGUAAGGAACGCAAAAUCCGGGAACAUAACACCGAUAUGAUGAAAACUAGGGCGGCAAGAGUGGAACAAAACACCAGGCAUAAGAUCGAGCCUUCCACCCUUUACCAAGUAUAUAGAUGCAUUAAUUAAAUAAGAGAUAUUGUGAUAUCCCAAGAAAAUAUCCAUGUUCCAACAUGGAACAAACUCCAAUCUUCACCUACAACUAACAAUGCUAUAAGAGGGGCUGAGCAAAGCGGUAACAUAGCCAAGCAACGGUUUGCUAGGACAAGGUGGGUUAGAGGCUUGGCUUAACCAUAUGGGAGGCAUGAUAAGCAAGUGGUAGGUAUCGCAGCAUAGGCAUAGCAAAAGAGCGAGCAACUAGCAAGCAAAGAUAGAAGUGAUUUCGAGGGUAUGGUCAUCUUGCCUGAAAUCCCGCGAGGAAGAAGAACGAGUCCAUGAAAAAGACAAACGGACGUAGUCGAAUGGGUCCUCACAAACACGACGUUAUCGGAACCAACCCGAAGAAGCAACACCGGAAAGAAACACACAAGAUAGUAAACAAACCACAAAUGAACAUGGCAUGAUAUGCGGGAUGUGGUAUGCGGUGCAUAUGCAUGAUUUGGAAAGGAAUGAUAGAACCUGGCGUCAACAUGGAAAUCCAAGAGUGCCACUGGAAAGGUGAGGUAAUUUCGGUUGAAAUCGAUAUAAAGAUCACCGGAAUCGGAUGCACGGUUUGGAAAUGACAAGCAAAACAAAUAUGGCACCGGUCUGCGAUAAACAGCAAGUAGCCUACUAAAUGCAUUAAGGUAAAUAAACUACUGCACUCAAACAUGGCAACAAAAUACAUGGCAGGGAUCCACUCAUGAUGCUUGACAAAAGAUGAACACUGAGUUAUGGCUAAUUCAUCCAUUAACAGGUUCAAACAAGCAUGACAAAAGUGCAAAAGAUAACAGGUUUCAGACUUAGUGAAAUAACAACAAAUCAGAAAUUUAUCAUCAGGAAACAAUGUUUAGAGCAUGAAACUACAUGCUACAGGAACAUAUCAUGGCAAAGCAAGGCAAGGCAUGAAUCUACUCAAAGCAUAUAACAAAAGUUCUUUAGUGACCAUGAGCCAAAAGGUGUCAGAAAAUACAAUUACAAGUAUGUGAACAUAGCAAAAACAUAAAUAGAUUCAGACUUAGUGAAAAACUGAAGCAUGCAAAAUAGAUUAACAAGUAGGCAUGUUUAUGAGCUCGAUGCACUCACUAUGAGGCAUUGCAUGACAAACUAAGCAUACACCCAGCAAAUAGACGUGUCAUAGAAGCUAGACAUGGCAAGAACAACAACAUAGCAUGCACGGAUCAACUACAACAAGCUCGGCAAAAGUGCUAAACAUGUUAGCAAUCUGCCAGGAACCUUUUAUAGCAAAUGUAGAGCUCGAUUGACUCAAGCUAGGGUGCUCAAUAAUUGCAAACAAAGACAUGGAUGGAUAGAGCACAACAUUAUCUACAAAACAUCCUUACUGAUCAUCCUCAAAAGAGGUCCGGAUCACUAGGAAACAACAUGAACAUAUGGCAUAAAAACAAUAACAUGACAAGGAUUGAGUGAAAUUCUAAGUCCGUGAAAUCAGCAUCAUUGAGUAAGCUACUUUGCAUGCUUGUGCUAGUCACCACAAAGAUCACAAAAAUACAUGGCAUACACCCCUGUAAAGAUAACGUGGCAUUCUACAAAACACAUGUAGAGCUCAGGAUCAUAGCAUGCACACAUUAAUCAUGGCAAAAAUGACAAAAUGCCAUUUGCUGAAAUAGAUCUGAAAUAAUCAUCACAUAGCCCUCUUCCAACAGCAUUUCGGGCAUCAAGAUGAGCUCAAACUAAAAUGAUGCAAUGAGAUGAAAUGAUGUACACGUCGAGGCAAACAUUUUGAUAUGCUACAGGCACGAAUCGGAGUUACGAUGAGGAAGUUAUGGCAUGCCAAAUUAUGCAAAAAAAAUAGGGUACGGGGAUAAAAGUCAACCGAGAUUUCUGGAUCUCAGAUCUGGCGGGCGCGGAUCCCGAGGUUCGCCGGACGGAGCUUCGAGGAGGCGCCGGACAUGACGGGGAUCGCCGGACUUGGCGGGGAAGAAGGGCGGCGAGGUUGGCGAGGUGGCGGCGCCGGCGCGGCGAUGGUAGCGCGGUCGGAGAUGGCGGGCGGCGGCCGGAGCGNNNNNNNNNNNNNNNNNNNNNNNNNNNNNNNNNNNNNNNNNNNNNNNNNNNNNNNNNNNNNNNNNNNNNNNNNNNNNNNNNNNNNNNNNNNNNNNNNNNNNNNNNNNNNNNNNNNNNNNNNNNNNNNNNNNNNNNNNNNNNNNNNNNNNNNNNNNNNNNNNNNNNNNNNNNNNNNNNNNNNNNNNNNNNNNNNNNNNNNNNNNNNNNNNNNNNNNNNNNNNNNNNNNNNNNNNNNNNNNNNNNNNNNNNNNNNNNNNNNNNNNNNNNNNNNNNNNNNNNNNNNNNNNNNNNNNNNNNNNNNNNNNNNNNNNNNNNNNNNNNNNNNNNNNNNNNNNNNNNNNNNNNNNNNNNNNNNNNNNNNNNNNNNNNNNNNNNNNNNNNNNNNNNNNNNNNNNNNNNNNNNNNNNNNNNNNNNNNNNNNNNNNNNNNNNNNNNNNNNNNNNNNNNNNNNNNNNNNNNNNNNNAUGAGGCGGGCGGCGCGCCUCGGGCCGGGGAGGGCCCAGAUCGGGCUCCGGCGGGCCGCGCGGGCGCGGAGGAGAGAGAAGACGGCGGCGGGGUGAUGUGGCAGCCCCUGAUUGGCUGCGGCGGUGUGUCCGGCGGCGGUCGGACGUGUUCGGCCGCGCGGAGGGGAAGAGGUCUAGGUCUAUGGUGGAUUUGAUCCAGAAUUUUGAGAGGGGGUGCCUUUUUAUAGGUAGGAGGAGCUAGGAGGCUCCAAAUUGAGCACGGUUUGCGGCCACGCGAUCGUGAUUGAACGCUCUAGGUGAUGGAGGGGUUUUUGGUGGGUUUUGGGCCAGUUUGGAGAGGUGUUGGGCUACAACACACACGAGGCCUUUUUGGUCCCUCGGUUAACCGUUGGAGUAUCAAACGAAGUCUAAAUGGCACGAAACUUGACAGGCAGUCUACCGGUAGUAAACCAAGGCCGCAUGACAAGUCUCGGUCCAAUCUAAAAACGUUUAACACCCGCACACAAAAAGAGGUAGAAAGGGACACCGGAGGGCAUAGGAGCGCCGGAAUGCAAAACGGACAACGUGGAAAAUGCUCGGAUGCAUGAGAUGAACACGUAUGCAAAUGAAAUGCACAUGAUGACAUGAUAUGACAUGCAUGACACACAAGCAAUGACAAGGCAACAAUAGCGAAUAACUGGAGGACACCUGGCACAUCGGUCUCGGGGCGUUACAACACUCCACCACUACGAGAGGAUCUCGUCCCGAGAUCUUGAAUGGCACCGGAGGGAAAACGGAAGAGAAAGGAGAAGAGGUAAAACUAAGUUGCUUCUCUGACCAAUGAGUGAAACCAAAUAACCUUGAGAGGUUGAACAAAUUGAAAGAAAGAAUGCAACGGAGAUGAACGAAGUAGAAAACACUCCGUUAGAAAAGAGGAACAAGGAAGAACAAAUUCGGGUAGCACUCCUAUUGAAAAGAGAUGCAAGACUUGAUAUGAUGAAAAGACCUUGAGCAAAAGGCACAACACUCCGAAUAAAUGGAUAGGCAUGAAAAGAACAUGAUCUUUGACAAAACGAGAUGAUGGGUUGAAAAGAGCAACAUGACAAUGCCUCCGGAACAAAAGAAUAGAAGAUAGAUAAUUGAAAUAGGAGAAUGGAGAAGAAAAUGCCAACUUCUGACACAAAAGAGUUUGAAAAGGCAUCUUUAGUAUAAAGGUCGAACGGAGUUGUUGGAAACCCAACAACGAAAAGAUAGGCUUGAAGUGGGCUUAUGGAAAACAUCUCGAAAUUAUGAGGUGAAAUUCUGCCAGUAAUGGAAACGAUAGAUUGGAUUGAUAUCAAUAAGGAGAUGAGACACUUAUAUCACCGGAAGGAUAAAUGAAGAAAUUGGGUCAUAUAUAAGCACCAUAAAUAGCAACAAUCCUUAGGCAAGACUUUAGGUGAAAUAUAACCCAAGAUAACUCUGAUGACGAUAUUGAUGGAUUUAAAAUACCUCAUUCUUAACAACAUGUGAAUCAUGAAACAUGAACUCAAAUUAUCAAGAAUGACAUAAUACCUCCUCCAAUGAUACGUUAGAAAGAAUUGUACUCCGGAUAGCAAGAUGAAGAACAUUUGAGCUCCUCUGAAAAGAAUGUUGAUGAACACUUCAAAAAGGAAAUACAUCCUUGAUGAACCAACAUGUAGAGCCUCCAUGAAUAACUCCAGUAAACAAAAGGAUAACAAAAAGAUAGAGAAGUUGAAAACAGAAGGUGAAACCUCGUAAUGAUUUAGAUGUAUCUCCGUGAUGAUAUAAUUUGCGAGAGCUUGGAACUCCGGAAAAGAAAAGAUGAAACAAGUGAAACCGAGAAUUUGAUGGACCUCCAGAAUAAGGAAUUAAUCACUUGGAUGAAAACAAGAAUAAGAAUUACAUUAUGCUUAUUCUCGUAGAAAGGAUUAAGAUAGAUAUUGCGCAACUUGGGAAGGUCUUCAACGAACCACCGGUAGGAUUGGGACAACGAAUAUAAUUGAUAUGAUAACGAAGGAAAAGAAAUCUUGAAUGAACCACCGUAAGAAUUGAAAAUGAACGAAGUGAAAAAGGAUGAAUCACCGGGUAAGAAUUAGCAAGUGAAUGAAGAUGCUUGAGAGAAUUUAGAUACAAGAGAGCGAAGAGAUCAUGAACUGAUUAGAGAAUAUACUUGAAUGAUGCACAGGUAAGAUUUGGAGAAUGAUAGCUGACAGCCGGAAUGAAUAAACCGAAAUGAUGGCCUUCGGAGAAUCAAACUGUAAAGACUUCUGAAUUGCGCCGGAUGGGUAAACAGAAUUCUCACAAUCAAAAACAAUUAUGAGAGGAUGGCAGAGAAUGGGGCAAGAUUUAAAAGAAACUCUUCUUCGGUCUUCAAAUAUAGAGAAUGACGAUGAGAAACACCACCAUGAAUCGUUUAGGCACUCCGGAAGAAUCAAAAGCGAAGAGAUUGAGCCAACGAUGAAAAGAGUUAGAAAGAUCUUGGAGAAGGGCAUUUGAAUGAUGAUAACUCAUUCUUAUGUCAAACUUUGAAAUGAAUUUGAGAAUAACUCCGGGAGAAUAAGAAGAGUCAGGUAAGAUCCUGGAAAAAGACCUAUGGGUUAGGGCCCACUCAAAAGAAACACCGUUGAACGAUUUAAAAGAGAGAAUGCACCGGUUGAGUUAAAUGGCUUGAAUGAGAUAACAACCUCGAAAUAGAUUGAACUGACCUUGAAUGAAAAGACGAGCCUUCUGAGAUAUCUUGAGCACUCCGGGACAAUAGAAUAGCGAGAGGUGAAUGAUUGAGAAUUGCACCGGCAUGAGAAAGCAUUGAAAUACGGAAAAGAAUAUGAUCAACACCGAAAGAUUGAAUUGGUUCCACCGGAGAAGAAAGAGAAGGAAAAUGAUGAACUUGAGGCUCCGUUAGUAUCUUCAUGAGAAUCACCGGAUAAGAACAUUGAAGGAAAAGAAUGGAGAGACUACACAUCCAUAAGAUGGAUGCUUGAUUAAGACAUCUGACUCCUUGAGGAAAAAGGGUGGGAGGGCGGGAAAAUAAAGGCGGCUUGGGACGAAUGAAACAAACACCGUUGUGAAGAACUGAUAAUUGAUCUUGCGAAUGUUGAAGUGAUCGGAUCCACUUGAAAAGGAACACGCCGGUUGAAAAAGGAUUGACAUGAUAAUCUCGAAGAUCGAGAGGGCUUAGUAUUCGCAUAGGAGUAUGAGAACACCGCUUAGGCAAGGUAUGGAAUCAACAUUUGACUUUGAAGCAACUCGAAUACCACAAUCAAAACAAAACAAUGGAUUGGCUUGCAGAAUAAGCCGGAACAAACAUAUGAUAGAGAUUUCGUCCGAAGUUUUCGUGGUGGGGCCUACACGGGCUUGAUCGUACAGCACCAUCAUGUACAAGGCAGUGCACAUAACAUACGAAGCGUCCCCGAGUCGGCAUAGCCAAGGACUCUUUAAGACACAACGAGACCAUUGUAAAACCAAUCGUGGAUAGGCGGAUCACUAGACGUCGAACCCCAAUUUCAUAUCAUACAUCUAUCGGAAAGAUAUCCUAAGAGCUACUUGAAUUCCCACUUAUAAACUCCCGAAAUUUUCUAGUUAUGCAAUCAGGUGUUGGGGAUACAGGGGAAGCAUAAUAUCUCACCCAAAGCUAGCAAAUCCUACAUCCAGCUGUAUCCAUUCUUCAAGACAUAACCAAGAAACCUUCGGAAAUCGUUUACCUCAACCUUCGAAAAGCAUCCGUUAUACGAGUUAUGGCAAUACUCCCGAACACCCUCCCCAGUACUGGGUGGCGUCGAGGUUAUCUCACCAACAACUGCAUAAAAGAGAUUUUCGAUGUCGGCGAGCUCAGGUAUUCCAGAAUUGCAACGAUAAAAUUAUGACGACAACACCUCGGAGCUCAACUCCCCGGGACACUGCCACAACCCCUAAAUGUCAGGAGGCACCAAGAACAAUGUUCUCGUCACAAAACCAUCGGAACGAUUCCAAGAUACCCGCGUGAUCCUAAAAAAAAUUGAGUGAAACUUGAAAAGAGAAGAGUCAAAACUCUACGUCAGGAUGCCUCACCAGAGCACCGAAGGGACUGAGGAGUAAAAAUAAUUCCUAACUCUUCGAUAUAUAUAAUCCUAAAUGACUCAAAACAUUUUUCUAGACUCAACAACGCCAGCGAUUCAAUCAAGAAGGGAGGGAUCCUGAGGUCGGGGAAGGCUUUGAUACCAACUUGUAACGCCCUCGAUGCGGCUAUAUCUCCCACGUGUCGAAGCACGACUUAGAGGCAUAACCGCAUUGAAAGCAAUGUCGCAUGUGAGGUAAUCUUCACACAACCCAUAUAAUACAUAAGGGAAAGAGAUACAUAGUUGGCUUACAAUCGCCACUUCACACAUUUACAUUAAUAAAGCAUUACAUCAUCGAAAUACAAUCAAGGUCCGACUACGGAACCAAAAUAAAAGAAGACUACCCCAAAUGCUACACAGAUCCCCGAUCGACCCCAACUGGGCUCCACUACUGAUCAACUAGAACGAAACAACACAAAGGACAAGAUCUUCAACGAGCUCCUCCUUGAGCUCGGUUGCAUCACCUGUACGGUAUCAUCGGCACCUGCAAACUGGUUUUGGAAGAAUCUGUGAGUCACGAGGACUCAGCAAUCUCACACCCUCGCGAUCAAGACUAUUUAAGCUUAUAGGAAGGGUAAAAGUAUGAGGUGGAGCUGCAGCAAGCGACUAGCAUAUAUGGUGGCUAACAUAUGCAAAUGAGAGCGAGAAGCGAAGGCAAAACCACGGUUGAACAACUAUGAUCAAGAAGUGAUCCUAAAACAACCUACGUCAAACAUAACUCCAACACCGUGUUCACUUCCCGGACUCCGCCGAGAAGAGACCAUCACGGUUACACACGCGGUUGGUGCAUUUUAAUUAAGAUAAACUUUAGGUUUUCUACAACCGGACAUUAACAAAUUCCCAUCUGCCCAUAACCGCGGGCACGGCUUUCGAAAGUUCAAACCCUGCAGGGGUGUCCCAACUUAGCCCAUCACAAGCUCUCACGGCCAACGAAGGAUAUUCCUUCUCCCAAGACAAUCCGAUCAGACUCGGCAUACCGGUUACAAGACAUCCUCGACAAUGGUAAAACAAGUCCAGCAACACCGCCCGAAUGUGCCGACAAAUCCCGAUAGGAGCUGCAUAUAUCUCGUUCUCAGGGCACACUCAGAUGAGCGCUCCAUACAACUAAAACCAAACCUCAAGUUUCCUCGAGGGGGCGCUGCACAGGGCUCUAGUUUGGGCCAACACUCAGAGGAGGACUGGCCCAGGGGGUUAAAAUAAUGAUGACUCUCAGGAGCGCGACUCCCAAGGGAAAAGAUGCUAGGUGGCGAAUGGUAAAACCAAUGUUGGGCAUUGCUGGAGGAGUUUUAUUCAAGGCGAACUGUCAAGGGGUUCCCAUUAUAACCCAACCGUGUAAGGAACGCAAAAUCCGGGAACAUAACACCGAUAUGACGGAAACUAGGGCGGCAAGAGUGGAACAAAACACCAGGCAUAAGGCCGAGCCUUCCACCCUUUACCAAGUAUAUAGAUGCAUUAAUUAAAUAAGAGAUAUUGUGAUAUCCCAACAAAAUAUCCAUGUUCCAACAUGGAACAAACUCCAAUCUUCACCUGCAACUAACAACGCUAUAAGAGGGGCUGAGCAAAGCGGUAACAUAGCCAAGCCACGGUUUGCUAGGACAAGGUGGGUUAGAGGCUUGGCUUAACCAUAUGGGAGGCAUGAUAAGCAAGUGGUAGGUAUCGCAACAUAGGCAUAGCAAAAGAGCGAGCAACUAGCAAGCAAAGAUAGAAGUGAUUUCGAGGGUAUGGCCAUCUUGCCUGAAAUCCCGCAAGGAAGAAGAACGAGCCCAUGAAGAAGACAAACGGACGUAGUCGAACGGGUCCUCACAAACGCGACGUUAUCGGAACCAACCCGAAGAAGCAACACCGGAAAGAAACACACAACAUAGUAAACAAACCACACAUGAACCAUGAUAUGCGGGAUGUGGUAUGCGGUGCAUAUGCAUGAUUUGGAAAUGAAUGAUAGAACCUGGCCUCAACUUGGAAAUCCAAGAGUGUCACUGGAAAGGUGAGGUGAUUUCAGUUGAAACCGAUAUAAAGAUCACCGAAAUCGGAUGCACGGUUUGGAAAUGACAAGCAAAACAAAUAUGGCACCGGUCUGUGAUAAACAACAAGUAGCCUACUAAAUGCAUUAAGAUAAAUAAACUACUGCACUCAAACAUGGCAACAAAAUAAAUGGCAGGGAUCCACUAACAGGUUGAAAAGAUGAACACUUAGCUACGGCUAAUUCAUCCAUUAACAGGUUCAAACAAGCAUGGCAAAAGUGGAAAAGAUAUCAGGUUUCAGACUUGGUGAAAUAACAACAAAUAAGGAAUUUAUCAUCAGGAAGCAAUGUUUAGAGCAUGAAAACUACAUGCUGCAGGAACAUAUCAUGGCAAAGCAAGGCAUGGCAUUAAGCUACUCAAAGCAUAUAACAAAAGUCCCUUAGUGAUCAUGAGCCAAAAGGGGUCAGAAAAUACAAUUACAAGCAUGUGAACAUAGCAAAAAUAUAAACAGAUUCAGACUUAGUGAAAAACUGGAGCAUGCAAAACAGAUUAACAAGUAGGCAUGUUUACGAGCUCGAUGCACUCACUACGAGGAAUUGCAUGAAAAACUAAGCAUACACCCAGCAAAUAUACAUGGCAUAGAAGCUAGACAUGGCAAGAACAACAACAUAGCAUGCACGGAUCAACUACAACAAGCUCGGCAAAAGUGCUAAACAUGUUAGCAAUCUGCCAGGAACAUUUUAUUGCAAAAGUAGAGCUUGAUCUACUCAAGCUAGGUUGCUCCAUAAUUGCAAACAAAGACAUAGAUGGAUAGUGCAUAACAUUAUCUACAAAACAUCCUUACUGAUAAUCCUAAAAAGAGGCACAGAUCACUAGGAAACAACAUGAACAUAUGGCAUAAAAACAACAACAGGACAAGGACUUAGUGAAAUUCUAAGUCCCCGAAAUCAACAUCAUUGAGUAAGAUACUUUGCAUGCUUGUGCUACUCACCACAAAGAUCACAAAAAUACAUGGCAUACACCUCUGUAAAGAUAACGUGGCAUUCUACAAAACACAUGUAGAGCUCUGGAUCAUAGCAUGCACACAUUAAUCAUGGCAAAAAUGACAAAAGGCCAUUUGCUGAAACAGAUCUGAAAUAAUCAUCACAUAGCCCUCUUCCAAUAGCAUUUCGGGCAUCAAGAUGAGCUCAAAUGAAAAUGAUGCAAUGACAUGAAAUGAUGUACUCGUCGAGGCGAACAUUUUGAUAUGCUACACGCACAAAUAGGAGCUACGAUGAGGAAGUUAUGACAUGCCAAAGUAUGCAAAAAAAUUAGGGUUUGGGGAUAAAAGUCAACUGAGAUUUCUGAAUCUCAUAUCUGGCGGGCGUGGAUCCCGAGGUUCGCCGGACGGAGCUUCGAGGAGGCGCCGGACUUGAAGGGGAUCACCGGACUUGGCGGGGAAGAAGGACGGCAAGGUGGCGGCACCGGCGCGGCGAUGGCAGCGCGGUCGGAGAUGGUGGGCGGCGACCGGAGCGGAGGCUCNNNNNNNNNNNNNNNNNNNNNNNNNNNNNNNNNNNNNNNNNNNNNNNNNNNNNNNNNNNNNNNNNNNNNNNNNNNNNNNNNNNNNNNNNNNNNNNNNNNNNNNNNNNNNNNNNNNNNNNNNNNNNNNNNNNNNNNNNNNNNNNNNNNNNNNNNNNNNNNNNNNNNNNNNNNNNNNNNNNNNNNNNNNNNNNNNNNNNNNNNNNNNNNNNNNNNNNNNNNNNNNNNNNNNNNNNNNNNNNNNNNNNNNNNNNNNNNNNNNNNNNNNNNNNNNNNNNNNNNNNNNNNNNNNNNNNNNNNNNNNNNNNNNNNNNNNNNNNNNNNNNNNNNNNNNNNNNNNNNNNNNNNNNNNNNNNNNNNNNNNNNNNNNNNNNNNNNNNNNNNNNNNNNNNNNNNNNNNNNNNNNNNNNNNNNNNNNNNNNNNNNNNNNNNNNNNNNNNNNNNNNNNNNNNNNNNNNNNNNGGGCGCGAUGAGGCAGGCGGCGGGCCUCGGGCCGGGAAGGGCCCGGAUCGGGCUCAGGCGGGCCGCGCGGGCGCGGAGGAGAGAGAAGACGGCGGCGGGGUGAUGUGGCAGCCCCUGGUUGGCUGCAGCAGUGUGUCCGGCGGCGGUCGGACGUGUCCGGCCGCGCGGAGGGGAAGAGGUCUAGGUCUAGGGUGGAUUUGAUCCGGAAUUUCGAGAGUGGAUGCCUUUUUAUAGGUAGGAAGAGCUAGGAGGCGCCAAAUUGAGCACGGUUUGCGGCCACGCGAUCGUGAUUGAACGCUCUAGGUGAUGGAGGGGUUUUUGGUGGGUUUUGGGCCAAUUUGGAGAGGUGUUGGGCUGCAACACACACGAGGCAUUUUCGGUCCCUCGGUUAACCGUUGGAGUAUCAAACGAAGUCCAAAUGGCACAAAACUUGACACGCUGUCUACCGGUAGUAAACCAAGGCCGCAUGACAAGUCUCGGUCCAAUCCGAAAACGUUUAACACCCACACACGAAAGGAGGUAGAAAGGGACACCGGAGGGCAUAGGAGCGCCGGAAUGCAAAACGGACAACGGAGAAAAUGCUCGAAUGCAUGAGACGAACACGUAUGCAAAAGAAAUGCAUAUGAUGACAUGAUAUGACAUGCAUGACACGCAAGCAAUGACAAGGCAACAAUAGCGAAUAACUGAAGGACACCUGGCACAUCGGUCUCGGGGCGUUACACAGCGAGACCUAGCAUGCACUCCCAUCAGGCAUCUGUCCAAAUGGGAAGGCACUGCGUAGGAGGCCAUAGGACAGAACCUCAUUUUUUUCAUGUUUUUUGUUUUUAUGCAUUUUUAAUUUAGUUUAUACUUCCAAAUAUUAUAAAUAUACACUUUGCAUCAAACUAUCAUAAGAUGUAAAUAAAGAAUCUGAAAAUUGUGAAGUUUGUAUAGGAAAAAUAUUUCUUAUGUGUAUGAAAAACUUAUACAAAAAAUAUGCAAUGUCAAUGAAAAAAGUUGAUCAUGUAUAUAAAAACAAUCAUCAAGCAGUUGAUAAAUUUUAAUGAUAUGUUAAAAAAUGUUAAUAAACCAUUUAAAAUUGUUAGCUGUGUACAUAAAAAUUGUUUGUCAUGUAUACAAAAUNNNNNNNNNNNNNNNNNNNNNNNNNNNNNNNNNNNNNNNNNNNNNNNNNNNNNNNNNNNNNNNNNNNNNNNNNNNNNNNNNNNNNNNNNNNNNNNNNNNNNNNNNNNNNNNNNNNNNNNNNNNNNNNNNNNNNNNNNNNNNNNNNNNNNNNNNNNNNNNNNNNNNNNNNNNNNNNNNNNNNNNNNNNNNNNNNNNNNNNNNNNNNNNNNNNNNNNNNNNNNNNNNNNNNNNNNNNNNNNNNNNNNNNNNNNNNNNNNNNNNNNNNNNNNNNNNNNNNNNNNNNNNNNNNNNNNNNNNNNNNNNNNNNNNNNNNNNNNNNNNNNNNNNNNNNNNNNNNNNNNNNNNNNNNNNNNNNNNNNNNNNNNNNNNNNNNNNNNNNNNNNNNNNNNNNNNNNNNNNNNNNNNNNNNNNNNNNNNNNNNNNNNNNNNNNNNNNNNNNNNNNNNNNNNNNNNNNNNNNNNNNNNNNNNNNNNNNNNNNNNNNNNNNNNNNNNNNNNNNNNNNNNNNNNNNNNNNNNNNNNNNNNNNNNNNNNNNNNNNNNNNNNNNNNNNNNNNNNNNNNNNNNNNNNNNNNNNNNNNNNNNNNNNNNNNNNNNNNNNNNNNNNNAUAAGUUUAGCAAGAUGUUAGUCAUGUAUAUAAAAAAGUUAAAUGUGUGCAUAAAAUGUGUUUCAGAUGUAUAGAAAAAAUGUUGAAUGUGUAACGAAAAAAGUUGACAUGUGUUGAACAAGAAAUAAACUGAUUAAAACCAAUUAAACCCAAUAAAAUAGAGAAAGAAAACAAGAAAAUAAAACAAAAACCAAUUCAAAAAAAUGAAAACAGUGAAAACUAAGAAAGAAAUAAGGAAAACUGAUGAACACCAAGAAAGAAAGAAAAGGCAAAAAAAAUGGUGAAAACUGACCAAGAAAAAAGAAACAAAAGAAUAAACUACUUAAACUCAUGAAAGAAAUGAUGAAAACUGAUAAAAAAAGGAAACUAGAUAAAAGCAAUGAAGAAACAGAGAAACCCGAAAAGAAAAGAAAAACAGGAGAAAAAUGGAAGAAGCGGGCGUGUAGGGGACCUCCUAUUUAGAGCCCGACAUGCCGGUUAACCAGCCAACGCAUACUAUCUUCACAUAUUCAAAAAUUCAUGAUUUUGAAAUGAAACGUUCAAAAUCAAAAAAUGCUCAUAGUUAUAAAUAUAAAAAAUUGGUACUUUCUAUGAGAAUGGAUAAAUAGAAAUGGGUACAUCCUCUUUCUCUUUUUGGUGUACUAAAAAAAUAUUCAUGAAUUUGAACGAAUGUUUACAAAUUCAAAAAAAUGGUCACAAUUUAUUUUUAAACAAUCACAAAAUUAAAAAAAUGUUUAUGAAUUACCCAAAGAGUUCAAGAAAUGAAAAAUAAUAAUGCAUUUAAAAAUGUCAUGCAUUUCCAAAAAAAUGUUUUGUAAAACAAAUGUACAUGAAUUUCUGAAAAAUUCCCAAAUUCCAAAAGAUGAUCGUCACCUAAAAAAAUGGUCACCAAUUUCUACAAAUUUUGAAGAGUUUCAAGAACAUUCAAAAUUUCAUAGAUAUGUUCAUGAAUUCAAUAAAUGUUCAGGAUUCCUGAAAAUGUCCACAAUUUCAAAAACUAUUUUCAGGAAUUCAAAAAUGUACAUUAAAUUAUGUUAAAGAAAAAAUAAAAUUUGGAAAAAUAAAUAAAAAUAAAAAAUAAAAUAGAAAAACAUGAAGAAAAAGAACAGAAAAAUAAAUUAGAAAGGCAAGAAAGAAAAUGAAUAAAUAAGUAAAUUACCAAAGGUAAAAUACCCCCAAAAACUUGGUUUGUGAAGGUUAUAGAAACUUCCCAAAACCGGAAGCGAGCUAGUUGGGCGUUCUCAAUUUAUACAUGGUGGGAAACGGCCCGGGGUGUGGGGGGUAUGCACUAGGUCCCCAACUAGUGGCCUGAUGCUCAAAAAAAACUAGUGGCCUACGCGCGAAACAAAACUGGUCAGCGAGCACGACCGAGCGUCUCGAACGAUCAAACAGCUGGAAAGAAAGACGACAAUUGCCCGGCCCAGUAGCUGCAAGUGGAGGAAAACUAGGCGAGAAGCGAGAUUUAGUCGCAACGAUAUUUCCGCAGGCAGCUUAUAUUCUACUGGUGCCCACUGCAACGCCUAGUGGGCGUGCCCAUGAAGGCCCAGCGCAAGGAAUAUAUUACAUCGUGAAAAAACACCAAAAUAAGAAGCUGCCGCGUGGAAUCAAAAUCAUGCCUUACAUUCCUGCAGGUGUUUGGAUAACCACUGUAGCAUCCCAUUGAAAGUCACUGAGGGAAGCACUAAUUGUUUAAGAAUAACUAUAGCCGCUCAUACGUGAUUUUCUUUAAGAAAAAAUAAACAAAUUUUUACACUUCAUAGAUUUCAUAAAAAGUUCAUGAACAUGCAAAAAAGGUGCCAUAUUCAAAAAAGUUCACUAAUUAUUAAAAAAUUCAUGUAUUCAAAAAACACUUAUUUUUAAAAAGUUAGCUAAUUGGAAAAGGUUCAAUUUAAAAAAAUUAUGAAUUUUGAAAAAACAAUUGUUUAUCCAUUUUGAAAACAAAAGUUCAUCACUUUUUGUAAAAAUCCAUCAAUCUUAAAAAUUUCAUUGGUUUGAAAAAAUUUCACAAAUUCAAAAAAAGUUUGUUGAUUUAAAAAAAAGGCUCACAAAUUUCAAAUGAACUUCAUCACUUUUGAAAAAAUUCAUAGAUUUUGAAGAAAAUUUGCAUUGGUUUUGAAAAAAAAAUCACAAAUUUGAAAAGUUCACGCAUUUAAGAAAAUAAAAAUAAUUAUAAUAAAGGAAAGGAAAAAAUUAGGAAAACAGCUGCAUUUUUAUGGGUUGCAUUUUAAUAAUAAUAAAGGAAUCUAGCAUACUGUGUGUGGUGGGCGACUCGGCUAGUGCGUUCGGUGUUAAAACAGGAGCAUCGUGGUUUGAAUCACGUUGUGCACACCUUUUUGAGGAUUUAAAUGAAGAAAAAAAAGUAAAAAUGGGUCGGCACGGAGUGGAAGGGGGUGUGCGCCAGGUUGCAAAGUGAGCUGUAAGGGGCGCUCAAGGCCGUGACAAAAUAUCGCUUGUUGGUUGGCAAGUAGAAACUGGUGGCCCGCCCAUCUGUUGAUUUUACAUGAGCCCCAAAACUUCCCUAUGAAAAACCUGAGCGCCAAAACAAGCACAUAUAUCCACUCACUUUUUUCCUCCUUUCGAAUUCAAAUAGGCCGACCUGAGGAUUUAAAUGAAGAAACCAAAGAAGUAAAUAUAGGCCGGUCCAGAGUGGAAGGGGAUGUGCGCCAAGUUGCAAAAUGAACUGUAAGGGGUGCUUAAGGCACUGACAAAAUAUUGCUUGUUGGUUGGUAGGCAGAAACUGGCGGCCCGGCCCAUCCGUUCAUUUUACGUGAGCCCCAAAACUUCCCUAUAAAAAACAUGAGUGCCAGAACAAGCAAACGUAUCCACUCACUUUUUUCCCCUUUUGAAUUCGAAUGAAGUGUGGCCUAGGCGACCUAGAGAAUAGCGUGAAAUUGCUUGUCCGUCACCAGUCACCACUAUUACCAAACCGGCCUAGGAUCAUCAAAAAAUGGAAAGCAAACGUAUCCACUCACUCUUUUCUCCUUUUGAAUUCGAAUGAAGUGUGGCCUAGGCGACCUAGUGAAUAGCGCGAAAUUGCUUGUCCGUCAUCGGUCACCACUAUUACCAAACCGGCCUAGGAUCAUCAAAAAAUGGAAAGCAAACGUAUCCACUCACUUUUUNNNNNNNNNNNNNNNNNNNNNNNNNNNNNNNNNNNNNNNNNNNNNNNNNNNNNNNNNNNNNNNNNNNNNNNNNNNNNNNNNNNNNNNNNNNNNNNNNNNNNNNNNNNNNNNAGCAAAGGUAUCCACUCACUUUUUCCCCUUUUGAAUUCGAAUGAAGUGUGGCCCAGGCAACCUAGAGAAUAGCGUGAAAUUGCUUGUCCGUCACCGGUCACCACUAUUACCAAACCGGCCUAGGAUCAUCAAAAAAUGGAAAGCAAAGGUAUCCACUCACUUUUUCCCCUUUUGAAUUCGAAUGAAGUGUGGCCCAGGCGACCUAGAGAAUAGCGCGAAAUUGCUUGUCCGUCACCGGUCACCACUAUUACCAAACCGGCCUAGGAUCAUCAAAAAAUGGAAGAAAACCGGUCUGGGAAUUAUGUUCAACACACUUUCAUGUAAUUUCGUUCAUGAGUCUAGAAACUCGAAUACUGAGUCUCGUGGUCUAGCUAGGCAUGCAGUUGGUUCAGAUCAGGGACACCAUCUUUGGACGGGUCACUCUCAUGAUCCCGGUGUAAUACCAGACUAUGAGAGCUUGGCUAACUGUGACGCCCAGAUAAUUAAGCUAUAGUGAACCUCUGCUAAUGAUUUCACGUCACCUCGAUUACUGUUGCUAAUCUUGCGUUAGUUCAAAACCGGAUCGAAUUCAAAAUCACAGUCAAGCAAAACGAUAAAAGCUUUUCAAAUGAAAAAUCUAAAAUGCUCGGGGUGAGCCAAAUAAUGCAUAGGUAAUUAUGGCAGAGAAAACACAUUUUUAUAAAAUAUAUAAAUGCACUAAAGUGAUUUAAACAACAGCAAAAACAAUUAUUUAAAUGUCUUUGGUAUUUUGUCAAAUACUAAAGUAAUUUAUUUGGGGGUUAAACAUUUUGUGGCAGUGUUAUAAUUAGUAUUACUGAUUUAGGUGCAAUUCUUUUAAUUCACAUAACUAAAAAUAAAAUAAAACUACAAAGAAAAAUAAGUAAAAAGUAAAAACAAAACAAAAAAAGAACAAAGAGAGACCCCCCCCCCUUCCCUGGGCCUUUCGGCCCAAAAGGGCUACCAGGCCACCCACNNNNNNNNNNNNNNNNNNNNNNNNNNNNNNNNNNNNNNNNNNNNNNNNNNNNNNNNNNNNNNNNNNNNNNNNNNNNNNNNNNNNNNNNNNNNNNNNNNNNNNNNNNNNNNNNNNNNNNNNNNNNNNNNNNNNNNNNNNNNNNNNNNNNNNNNNNNNNNNNNNNNNNNNNNNNNNNNNNNNNNNNNNNNNNNNNNNNNNNNNNNNNNNNNNNNNNNNNNNNNNNNNNNNNNNNNNNNNNNNNNNNNNNNNNNNNNNNNNNNNNNNNNNNNNNNNNNNNNNNNNNNNNNNNNNNNNNNNNNNNNNNNNNNNNNNNNNNNNNNNNNNNNNNNNNNNNNNNNNNUCCCCUCUCCCUUCUCUCGCUGGAUUGGAUCGGGGAGGGGGCCGAUCUAGCCCCUGGCGCCGCCGCUCCCCAGAGGCUGCCACCGGCCGGCGCCAAGCACCGCCACCCCCAGCCUCCUCCUCGCGGCUCCCAACCUCCUGCACCGCAUCCCCGCCGUCCUCCCCAUCGGACUGCGCCCGCCUCCCCGACGCCGCCACGCCGCCCCGUCGUCCCCGUCUCCUCCACGCCGGACCUCCUCCCCGGUGGCCUACACCGAGUCACGCCGACCCUCUCCCCGUCAACGCCCGUGAGGCCUCCCCUCAUUCCCCGUCUCUUCCUUUCCUCUCUUGCGUUGCGGCCACCGCGCCCCCGACCGGGUCCGGCCACGCCCGCGGUCACCACGCCCCUCCCCGCCGCCCUCGCGCUCAGGCCGCAGCCCCCGUCGUGCUGUUCGUCCCGCGGCCGCACCGCCCGCUUGCGCCGCCCUUUGCCGCUACCUCGGAUCGCCCUCUGUUGCUCCCUGCGCAGACCAUGCUCGCAUGCACCGCCUGUGCUCGCCGCCUCUGUCCCGCGCCGCUCGCAGGCGUGUGCCCCUACCUACCCGCUGCACUCGCUGCAGCGCUGCUGCUGAUGCUUCUGCGCUGCUGCCCUUGCUGCUAGCCGCCGCUGUUGCGCCGCCGCUGAUCUGCACCGACACGUCGUCCACUGCCUAGCCCCGCACCACCGUGCCCCACCUGCUAGCCGCCCUUGGUGCCGCCCCGCUCUGCCGUCCGGUGACCACGCGUCGUCGGUGCCCCGCACGUGCCCAACGGCGCCCUGCAACAGGCGCUAUGGCCUCACCCGGCGCCCGCACCCGUUUAACCCGAUAGGCCCCUGGGGCCUAUGACAGAUGGCCCCACGCUCAGAACGUUUUUAAGAAAAAAGAGAAAUAAAUAAUAAUAAUAAUAAAAAUAAUAAAAUAACAAUUAAUUAAUUAAUUAAUUAAUUAAUUAAUUAAUCUAGUUAAUUAAACCUAAUUAACCUGCUGAUAAAUCUAACUAUUGUCAAUUAGAUAACAACCUAUGAUAUGUGGGACCCACCCAUUAGUUGAGUGGUCAACGGUCAACUUUGACCGCUUGCAUCACGCUGAUGUCAUGAUGACGUCAUAAAUUCCUUUUGAUUUAAUUAAUUCUGUUAAUCCUAAAAAUGAUUAAAUCUUUUAAAAUUAAUAUAAAAUAAACCGUAGCUCGGAUGGAAAAACUUUAUACAUGAAAGUUGCUCAGAAUGACGAGACGAAUCCAGAUACGCAGCCCGUUCGUCCGCCACACAUCCCUAGCAUAGUGAACACGCAACUUUCCCCCUCCGGUUCAUCUGCCCGAAAACGCGAAACACCGGGAAUACUUUCCCGGAUGUUUCCCCCCUUCACCGGUAUCACCUCAUACUGCGUUAGGUCACCCCUAGCACCGCGCAUUGCCAUGUUAUGCUUUGUGUUGCUUUGUUUGCUCUGUUAUUUAUUGUGUUCCCCCUCCGUUACUUCUUUCCGGUAGACCCCGAGACCGCUGCCGGUACCCCCGAUCGACUACGGUGUUGACGACCCCUCCUUGCCAGGGCAACCAAGCAAGCCCCCCCUGAUCACCAGAUAUCGCCUAUUCUUCUCUCUACUGCUUGCAUUAGAGUAGUGUAGCAUGUUACUGCUUUCCGUUAUCCUAUCCUAAUGCAUAGCCUGUCCUUGCUACUACAGUUGUUACCUUUGAAGGAAAUAUGCCCUAGAGGCAAUAAUAAAGUUAUUAUUUAUUUCCUUAUUUCAUGAUAAAUGUUUAUUAUUCAUGCUAGAAUUGUAUUAUCCGGAAACAUAAUACUUGUGUGAAUUCAUAGACAAACUAAACGUCACUAGUAUGCCUUUACUUGACUAGCUCAUUAAUCAAAGAUGGUUAUGUUUCCUAACCAUAGACAUGUGUUGUCAUUUGAUUAAUGGGAUCACAUUAUUAGGAGAAUGAUGUGAUUGACAUGACCCAUUCCAUUAGCUUAGCACCUGGUCGUUUAAUAUGUUGCUACUGCUUUCUUCAUGACUUAUACAUGUUCCUAUGACUAUGAGAUUAUGCAGCUCCCGUUUGCCGGAGGAACACUUUGUGUGCUACCAAACGUCACAAUGUAACUGGGUGAUUAUAAAGGAGCUCUAUAGGUGUCUCCAAAGGUACAUGUUGGGUUGGCGUAUUUCAAGAUUAGGAUUUGUCACUCUGAUUGUCGGAGAGGUGUCUCUGGGCCCUCUCGGUAAUGCACAUCACAUAAGCCUUGCAAGCAUUACAACUAAUGAGUUAGUUGCAAGGUGAUGUAUUACGAAACGAAUAAAGAGACUUGCCGGUAACGAGAUUGAACUAGGUGUUGAGAUACCGACGAUCGAAUCUCGGGCAAGUAACAUACCGAUGACAAAGGGAACAACGUAUGUUGUUAUGCGGUCUGACCAAUAAAGAUCUUCGUAGAAUAUGUGGGAUCCAAUAUGAGCAUCCAGGUUCCGCUAUUGGUUAUUGACCGGAGACGUGUCUCGGUCAUGUCUACAUUGUUCUCGAACCCGUAGGGUCCGCACGCUUAAGGUUUUGAUGACAGUUAUAUUAUGAUUUUAUUCAUUUUGAUGUACCGAAGUUUGUUCGGAGUCCCGGAUGUGAUCACGGACAUGACGAGGAGUCUCGAAAUGGUCGAGACAUAAAGAUUGAUAUAUUGGAAGCCUAUAUUUGGAUAUCGGAAGUGUUCCGGGUGAAAUCGGGAUUUUACCGGAGUACUGGGAGGUUACCGGAACCCCCCGGGAGGUAUAUGGGCCUUAGUGGGCUUUAGUGGAAGAGAGGAGAGGUGGACAGGGCUGGGUCGUGCGCCCCUCCCCUCCUAGUCCGAAUAGGACAAGGAGAAGGGGGCGGCGCCCCCCUUCCUUCUCUCUCUCCUCUUUCCCCCUCCCGAAUCCUAUUCCAACUAGGAAAGGGGGGAAUCCUACUCCCGGUGGGAGUAGGACUCCUCCUAGCGCGCCCUCCUCCUGGCCGGCCGCACCUUCCCCUGCUCCUUUAUAUACGGGGGCAGGGGGCACCCCUAGACACACAAGUUGAUCCACGUGAUCAUAUUCUUAGCCGUGUGCGGUGCCCCCUUCCACCAUAAUCCUCGAUAAUAUUGUAGUGGUGCUUAGGCAAAGCCCUGCGAUGGUAGUACAUCAAGAUCGUCACCACGCCGUCGUGCUGACGGAACUCUUCCCCGACACUUUGCUGGAUCGGAGUCCGGGGAUCGUCAUCGAGCUGAACGUGUGCUAAAACUCGGAGGUGCCGUAGUUUCGGUGCUUGAUCAGUCGGGCCGUGAAGACGUACGACUACAUCAACCGCGUUGUGCUAACGCUUCCGCUGUCGGUCUACAAGGGUAUGUAGAUCACACUCUCCCCUCUCGUUGCUAUGCAUCACCAUGAUCUUGCGUGUGCGUAGGAAAUUUUUUGAAAUUACUACGUUCCCCAACAGUGGCAUCCGAGCCUAGGUUUUAUGUGUUGAUGUUAUAUGCAUGAGUAGAACACAAGUGAGUUGUGGGCGAUAUAAGUCAUACAGCUUACCAGCAUGUCAUACUUUGGUUCGGCGGUAUUGUUGGACGAAGCGGCCCGGACCGACAUUACGCGUACGCUUACGCGAGACCGGUUCUCCCGACGUGCUUUGCACAAAGGUGGCUAGCGGGUGACAGUUUCUCCAACUUUAGUUGAACCGAGUGUGGCUACGCCCGGUCCUUGCGAAGGUUAAAACAUCACCAACUUGACAAACUAUCGUUGUGGUUUUGAUGCGUAGGUAAGAUUGGUUCUUGCUUAAGCCCGUAGCAGCCACGUAAAACUUGCAACAACAAAGUAGAGGACGUCUAACUUGUUUUUGCAGGGCAUGUUGUGAUGUGAUAUGGUCAAGACAUGAUGCUAAAUUUUAUUGUAUGAGAUGAUCAUGUUUUGUAACCGAGUUAUCGGCAACUGGCAGGAGCCAUAUGGUUGUCGCUUUAUUGUAUGCAAUGCAAUCGCGCUGUAAUGCUUUACUUUAUCACUAAGCGGUAGCGAUAGUCGUGGAAGCAUAAGAUUGGCGAGUCGACAACGAUGCUACGAUGGAGAUCAAGGUGUCGUGCCGGUGAGGAUGGUGAUCACGACGGUGCUUCGAAGAUGGAGAUCACAAGCACAAGAUGAUGAUGGCCAUAUCAUAUCACUUAUAUUGAUUGCAUGUGAUGUUUAUCUUUUAUGCAUCUUAUCUUGCUUUGAUUGAUGGUAGCAUUAUAAGAUGAUCUCUCACUAAUUAUCAAGAAGUGUUCUCCCUGAGUAUGCACCGUUGCGAAAGUUCUUCGUGCUGAGACACCACAUGAUGAUCGGGUGUGAUAGGCUCUACGUUCAAAUACAAUGGGUGCAAAACAGUUGCACACGCGGAAUACUCAGGUUAUACUUGACGAGCCAAGCAUAUACAGAUAUGGCCUCGGAACACGGAGACCGAAAGGUCGAGCGUGAAUCAUAUAGUAGAUAUGAUCAACAUAGUGAUGUUCACCAAUGAAACUACUCCAUCUCACGUGAUGAUCGGACAUGGUUUAGUUGAUUUGGAUCACGUGAUCACUUAGAGGAUUAGAGGGAUGUCUAUCUAAGUGGGAGUUCUUAAGUAAUAUGAUUAAUUGAACUUAAAUUUAUCAUGAACUUAGUCCUGGUAGUAUUUUGUAAAUCAUGUUGUAGAUCAAUAGCUCGCGUUGUUGCUUCCCUGUGUUUAUUUUGAUAUGUUCCUAGAGAAUAUUGUAUUGAAAGAUGUUAGUAGCAAUGAUGCGGAUUGGAUCCAUGAUCUGAGGUUUAUCCUCAUUGCUGCACAGAAGAAUUAUGUCCUUGAUGCACCGCUAGGUGAAAGACCUAUUGCAGGAGCAGAUGCAACGUUAUGAAUGUUUGGCUAGCUCAAUAUGAUGACUACUUGAUAGUUUAGUGCACCAUGCUUAAUGGCUUAGAAUCGGGACUUCAAAGACGUUUUGAACGUCAUGGACCAUAUGAGAUGUUCCAGGAGUUGAAGUUAAUAUUUCAAGCAAAUACCCGAGUUGAGAGAUAUGAAGUCUCCAACAAGUUCUAUAGCUAAAAGAUGGAGGAGAAUCACUCAACUAGUGAGCAUGUGCUCAUAUUGUCUGGGUACUACAAUCGCUUGAAUCAAGUGGGAGUUAAUCUUCCAGAUAAGAUAGUGAUUGACAGAAUUCUCUAGUCACCAUCACCAAGUUAGUAGAACUUCACGAUGAACUAUAAUAUGCAAGGGAUAACGGAAACAACUCCCAAGCUCUUCGUGAUGCUAAAAUCAAUGAAGGUAGAAAUCAAGAAAAACAUCAAGUGUUGAUGGUUGACAAGACCACUAGUUUCAAGAAAAGGGCAAAGGGAAGAAGGGGAACUUCAAGAAUAAUAGAAAGCAACUUGCUGCUCAAGUGAAGAAGCCCAAGUCUGGUCCUAAGCCUAAGACUAAGUGCUUCUACUGCAAAGGGAUUGGUCACUGGAAGCGGAACUACCCCAAGUGAUUGGCGGAUAAGAAGGAUGGCAAAGUGAACAUAAGUAUAUUUGAUAUACAUGUUAUUGAUGUGUACUUUACUAGUGUUUAUAGCAACCCCUCAGUAUUAGAUACUAGUUCAGUUGCUAAGAUUAGUAACUCGAAACGGGAGUUGCAGAAUAAACAGAGACUAGUUAAGGAUGAAGUGACGAUGUGUGUUGGAAGUAGUUCCAAGAUUGAUAUGAUUAUCAUCGCACACUCCCUAUAAAUUCGGGAUUAGUGUUGAACCUAAAUAAGUGUUAUUUGGUGUUUGCGUUGAGCAUGAAUAUGAUUUGAUCAUGUUUAUUGUAAUACGGUUAUUCAUUUAAGUAAGAGAAUAAAUUGUUGUUCUGUUUACAUGAAUAGAACCUUAUAUGGUUACACACCCAAUGAAUAUAGUUCGUUGGAUCUCGAUCGUAGUGAUACACAUAAUCAUAAUAUUGAAACCAAAAGAUGCAAAGUUAAUAAUGAUAGUGCAACUUAUUUGUGGCACUGACGCUUAGGUCAUAUUGGUGUAAAGCGCAUGAAGAAACUCCAUGCUGAUGGGCUUUUGGAAUCACUUGAUUAUGAAUCAGUUGAUGCUUGCGAACCAUGCCUCAUGGGCAAGAUGACUAAGACUCUGUUCUUCAGAACAAUGGAGCGAGCAACAGAUUUGUUGGAAAUCAUACAUACUGAUGUAUGUGGUCCGAUGAAUAUUGAGGCUCGCGACAGGUAUCAUUAUUUUCUAAUCUUCACCGAUGAUUUGAGCAGAUAUGAGUAUAUCUACUUGAUGAAACAUAAGUCUGAAACAUUUGAAAAGUUUAAAGAAUUUCAGAGUGAAGUGGAAAAUCAUCGUAACAAGAAAAUAAAGUUUCUACGAUCUGAUCAUAGAGAAGAGUAUUUUAGUUACGAGUUUGGCCUUCAGUUAAAAACAAUGUGAAAUAGUUUCACUACUCACGCCACCUGGAACACCAGAGUAUAAUGGUGUGUCCGAACGUCAUAACCGUACUUUAUUAGAUAUGGUGCGAUCUAUGAUGUCUCUUACCGAUCUACCACUAUCGUUUUGGGGUUAUGCAUUAGAGACAGCUGCAUUCACGUUAAAUAGGGCACCAUCUAAAUCCGCUGAGAUGACACCGUAUGAACUGUGGUUUGACAAGAAACCAAAGUUGUUGUUUCUUAAAAUUUGGGGUUGUGAUGCUUAUGUGAAACAAGUUUCAUCCUGAUAAGCACAAAUCCAAAUCGGAGAAAUGUGUCUUCAUAGGAUACCCAAAGGAGACAGUUGGGUACACCUUCUAUCACAGAUCCAAAGGCAAGAUAUUCGUUGCUUAGAAUGGAUCCUUUCUAGAGAAGGAGUUUCUCUCGAAAGAAGUGAGUGGGAGGAAAGUAGAACUUGAUGAGGUAACUGUACCUGCUCCCUUAUUGGAAAGUAGUUCAUCACAGAAAUCUGUUCCUGUGACUACUAGACCGAUUAGUGAGGAAGCUAAUGAUGAUGAUCAUGUAACUUCAAAUCAAGUUACUACCGAACCUCGUAGGUAAAACCAGAGUGAGAUCCGCACCAGAGUGGUACGGUAAUCCAGUUCUGAAGGUCAUGUUACUUGACCAUGAUGAGCCUACGAACUAUGAGGAAGCGAUGAUGAACCCAGAUUCCGCGAAAUGGCUUGAGGCCAUGAAAUCUGAGAUGAGAUCCAUGUAUGAGAACAAAGUAUGGACUUUGAUUGACUUGCCCAAUGAUCGGCGAGCCAUUGAGAUUAAAUGGAUCUUCAAGAGGAAGACGGACGCUGAUAGUAGUGUUACUAUCUACAAAGCUAGAAUUGUCGCAAAAAGGUUUUCGACAAAUUCAAGGUGUUGACUACGAUGAGAGUUUCUCACUCGUAUCUAUGCUUAAGUCUGUCCGAAUCAUGUUAGCAAUUGCCGCAUUUUAUGAAAUCCGGCAAAUGGAUAAACAAAACUACAUUCCUUAAUGGAUUUAUUAAAGAAGAGUUGUAUAUGAUACAACCAGAAGGUUUUGUCAAUCCUAAAGGUGCUAACAAAAUGUGCAAGCUCCAGCGAUCCAUCUAUGGACUGGUGCAAGCAUCUCGGAGUUGGAAUAUGCGCUUUGAUGAGAUGAUCAAAGCAUAUAGUUUUAUACAGACUUGCGGUGAAGCCUGUAAUUACAAGAAAGUGAGUGGGAGCACUACAACAUUUCUGAUAAGUAUAUGUGAAUGACAUAUUGUUGAUCGGAAAUAAUGUAGAAUUAUUCUGCAAAGCGUAAAGGAGUGUUUUGAAAGAAGUUUUUCAAAGAAAGACCUCAGUGAAGCUGCUUACAUAUUAAGCAUCAAGAUCUAUAGAGAUAGAUCAAGACGCCUGAUAAGUUUUUUUUUU